rnacentral:lncRNA from 1 species
AUUUCUUGUUUUGAUUCGGAUUUGUUCGUUGGGUUUGCAAAACUGUCCAAGCCUCUCUUAUCUUUUUUCAACAGAGCAUUAUUCGAUUACGUCUUCCCUAUCUUUUCUCCAUCUCAUUUGGUUUUCUCUCUUUUCUCUCUCUCCAUUUCUCAAUAUUCUCUCUUUAUUUUCUUUGGUUCUGAUCUGCUAUUUUUCUGAGAAAGCAACCAGGAAUAAUGAAGGUUUGAUUCUCACUUUAACGUUACCACCUCUUUUUAAUAUAAUUAUAUAAUACAAGCAUAUAUGUCUAUAGAUACAUGUCUACAAGUUAAUUAUUACUGGCCUGGGUUCUUCUGAUUCCUUCAUUUAUUUUAUUCACUUACUUCAUUCUGUUCGUUUAGUCUGAUUCGUAAUUAAUAACUUAAUUAAAUAUGUAUGGGCCGCCGACAUCAUCUGGGUCUUGUUCUUGUUAAGGGUGUCUUUGAUCAUAUCUUUAAUUUUAUAUAGAUGUUAUAAACAUUUACAUUUUUUUUUUCUUUUGGUUUAAACAUUAUAAAGCGGACUAUAAUCAGAAAUCAGAAAGUAUGAUUUAUGUCGUGUUUUCGUUAUUAAUUAUACAGUCUUUUUUUGAGCUAUAAAGUUCUUGUCUUUUUAUUUAUUUUUUUUAACAUCGAUCCAGCUUUUUCGAUUCAUAAAGGAAGGAAGAAUAAAAGAACAUACACCUCAUAUAUGUUUCAUCAAGUUUGAUCUCUCAUAUAUAUAUAUAUAUAUAUAUAUAUAUAUAUAUAUUGCAACAUGCAUGCAGCAUAUAAUUAAUUACUGUUACUUCAUGAAACAAUAUUAAUAACGAUUCUGUUAAAUUUUUUGCAGGCCGUGGCAAAGUUUAUGGGGAAAGGGAGAGGCGGCAGGGUAACAUUUGAUCCAGAUCGUAUAGUUAUGGGUGGCGGAGCAACUGGAGCUAACGAGCUUAUCAUGUUUUGCUUAGCCAAUCCUGGCGAUGCUUUUCUUGUGCCUUCACCUUAUUAUGCAGCGUACGAAACACUCUCUCUUCUUUACAUUUUCUUCAUCAAUUAUAAUAUAAUUUUGUGCUAAUUUAUACAGCACUAGAGGUUGAACGAUAUUGAGUUAGUUGAAAACUAACUGAUGGAAGAGAAGAGGGCUAUCCUGACAUUCAAAUUAUUUAAAUAAAAGCACUAGAUGAAAAGGCAUUAACAUGGUUUUAGAGGCUCUAAGUCUUGGGCUUGCUAUUACUAUUUACUUGGAUUUGGAUGAUGCUAAGGCCAAGCAGAAAGCUUUGAAGACUGUCUCUACUCUGUCAGGUACCAAACCAUUUUUACUUUUUUUUUAAGCAAAAACAAAAAUAAAUAAAUAAAUAAAUACCGCAAAGGAAUUAGAACUUCAAUUUGAGCAUUGAUUAUUUGUUUUGACUGUGACAGAAGAUAUUAUUCUAUAUUCUUUUCUAUGUAGUUUUAUAUUUUUGAGCCUGUAAUGUUCACAUCCCGCAAAUUAAUGAUAUGAUUUCAGUAAAUUAAGAACUUACUGAUCAGUUUUCACCACAUCACCUACGCCUUAUGUUUAUGAUUAUCUGGUAACUGGUCAAUUCACUCCAUUAAAAUGAUGGUCCACAACUGGUUCACUGUAUAAAAGAUCGGUACCAGCACCUUUGAAGAAAGAGGAAGAAAAUAUUUUUAAAAAAAAAAACUUUUUAUUUCUCACACAAAAAAAGAAAAAGAAAAAAGACAGAGGGAGAGAUCUAGGGAAGUUGUUAAUUAUGUUUUAAUUUUAAGUAGGCUUUUUUUGUUUACGUUACUUGGGGAACAGUUAAUUAUAUUAUGAGAUGAAUAAUUACAAUUUACGUUGAUUAUCGUGCAAAAUGGUGACCGUCAGAUUUGUCCUUCACGAAACAAACAAUUGCAUGAAUAGGUUAAACAGUUUGGCUGCACGUGGAAUUUUAUUCUAUUGUUCUUAUUAGCAUCAGGAGUCAUGAAAUGAUCAUUAAUUGCUAGCCGUAGUCUCUACUGGAUUAAUCUUCUAUGCGUAGUAAUGUUAGAUAAAAAAGAAGGCUUUGAGUAACUUGAUUUCAUUUUAAAAGGGAUCGAUUCCAUUGCCAUGGACAUGAAGGAGAAGAAAUUGACAGUGAUAGGAACCGCUGAUCCUGUAAACGUUGUGAGCAAAUUGAGAAAGUAUUGGCCGACGACAGAUAUAAUAUUAGUUGGGCCAGCAAAGGAGCCGGAGAAGCCAAAGGAGGAGCCAAAGAAGGAAGAGCCGAAGAAGGAAGAGGAAGCUAAGAAAGAAGAGCCAAAGAAAGAAGAAGAAGCUAAGAAAGAAGAGCCCAAAAAAGAAGAACCCAAGAAAGAAGAAGAAAAGAAAGAGGAAGAGAAAAAGAAAGAAGCGGCACCGGCACCGGUACCACCACCGGAUCCUGUUUUAGAGCUUGUUAAAGCUUACAGAGCUUAUAAUCCUCACUUGACCACUCAUUACCAUGUUCAAAGCAUUGAGGAGAAUCCAAACGCUUGUGUUAUUUGUUAAUUUCUCAACAGAAACUAAAGACAUUUUGCUAAGUUGGUGACUUGAUUUGAAUGUCAUCAAUUCUUAUAGUAAGCAGGCAACAUCAAGAUAUCAAGGCAAUAUCAAGAAAUCAAACUUGUGUAUAUAAAAAGUGCUGCUUCCUUUGUUUCUUUCCAUGUAUGAGUGAGUAAUUGAACUGUAGAAAAAAUAAAUAAAACUUUUUGAAUUUUGUUUCUGUCCAUCAUCAAUUUUUUUCCUCUUCCUUUUUUUUUUUUUUUGGGUUUGUUAUAUUCAUUAUAUACAUCAGAGGAUCAAAGUAGAUGAAGAUUUAGCCUCGGAUUAGGGUUCAUUUCUAGUGGCAUUUUUCUUAUUUUUGCUAAGCUAAAACUGAUUAUUAUGUGCUUAAAUAAUUAAGCUUAAAAAAUUAUGACAGAUCACCUCAUUCAAUAAAUAAGCUUCUCUGAUCACAAUUGACAACUUGUUAGUUAGUACCCAAAAUUUGGGCCGUUCCGUAAAUUUCCCAGAGUCAAUAAUAAAAUCACGGGCUGAAAAUUCAUUGUGGGUCACAUUGAAGCUUUUGGUUUCAGAACUCCGAGGGUAUAUUUCAUCGAAUUACUUGAUGUUGUACUCGGAACUGCAGGGGCCUGAUUCACAUUAUAUUUCUGGAGUCUAAUAAUUAUGUUUUGUUUUUUUACUUGUACGAAUUGAUCGGUCAUUUUCCAUGGGCCACGGUCGGUUGCAGAUAGACACUUUAUUUUUGGUGGGUUCUUCCACUCUUGUCAAUCCUGACCACACAAAUAACACAAUUACUUAGUUUAUUGCCACUGUUCUUGCGAUAAGAGUGUUUUUAAUUGCUUUAAAAAAAUUAUUAGGACUGGUGUUACUGUACAAUUGAUUUGGUUGGCAUCUAAUACAAACCAUAUAAUGGUGCUUAUUAAUUCAACUGAUGCAAUAAGCUUUGCGAGUUGAUUACAAGUAUUACAUCACUGGUUGCUUAGUUGUGUAUUCCCCUUAAGAACUAAGCCAUGUAAAUCUAUAAUCCUAAUUUUGUAUCAUGAUUGCAUGUGAUGGACGAUAAUUUUAUUUGUGUACAUUAAAUAUAUGCUCGCGCGCACUGUACUCUGUGCCUGCAUGUGCAUUCAGCACAAAGAACACACUCAUCAAGUCUUAAGCUAUAGAUUACACUGGAUGCCUACUGUUGUUAUAAACUUUUAUUAUAAUAAUAAUCUCAGUUAUAACAUUAUGUAUAUGAAACAAUGCAAUGCGUCAGUACACACACUAACCCUACAUUAUAAUUGGUCCUGAUUAAACUUAGUCAUCUAUCAACUCACUCUAUAGUGAGAAGAUACAUAGAGGGGUGUGUGGAUAACUGGAUAUGUGUGUUUGUGUGUGUUGCGUGUAUAAUUUUCUAACGAGGGUAUUUUCAUUUUGUUAAAAUGAAGAUGCCACUUACAGAUAAAAAAAUAAUGCCUCCAUAUAUAUAUAUAUAUAUAUAUGUAUGUAUGUAUGUAUGUAUGUAUGUAUGUAUGUAUGUAUGUAUGUAUGUAUCUCUUUAUUGUUUGUACUUAAAUGUGUAUUCUCACUAAAAAAGAAUUUUUUUUAUAAAAUUAUCUAACAAAAAUGUCUUGUGGUUUAAUCAUAUUGUAUAUACAUCUUUGUACAUACAAUUUAGGUACACAUAUGUAUAGAAGAUGGGGUGAACUCAUUAUAAGAGGAAUAUAAACCACUUGUUGUUUGGAGAAAGUAAUCCUACCCAAAAUCUACCGAUGUUAUAACUAUUUAUAAUUAAAGUAUCAAAUUUAUUAAUCACGUACUUUUCCAUUUUACCUUUGAUGGUUGUAAAGUUUAAAUGUAUUUGGAAUAUGAAUCAAGAAAAAUGACUUAUAUCAUUAAUGAUUGAAUUAAUUUAAUAAUAACUAUGCAAAUUGCACAUCGGUUAAAACUAUAUAAAAUGACAUAAAUAUCCAUAACAGCUGCUAUAAUAUUCAUGAAAAUUGCAUUUUAUUCUUCAAGUGUUGCCUGGUUCGGAAAUGUCCCAAACGCACAUGUAUGCUAAUCUCACAAACACGUGGGCUACUUUACAUUUUAUUAUUAAAUAAGUUAGUUCAAUUAUUAAGGGUAUACAUAAAAAAAAAAAAACAAAUUAAAGGCAUAUGAGCCAUUUUAUUUAAUUUUUAUAUCCCAAAAUAUUUUAAGUUUUAUGGACACCAAGGAGAAAAUAGUAAAAUGAUCAAUAAGCUAACACUUAAUUAACAUAAUGGGGGUUUCGAUAGGUUUCAAUCAAUAAAGUUAAUGCUUAACUAAUUUUAAAAUAUGAGGGGGUUUUUUUUUAAUUACUUUCUCUUAAUAACCAGGGAGUUCAGUUAAUUUUCCUUCUUUAUAAGUGGUUAUUUUAAUUCUAAUACUGUUAGUGGAAAUAUUUUCUUUAUUUAUCAUUUUAUUUUUCAUAGAGUGAUUUGUACAAAAGCCACGUUUAUGCAACGUAUAUAAUAAUACGGAUAUAGCAAAAUCAGCUCUAUUAGAUAAACAGACAAGCAACGAGGUAAAUAAAUUCAUCCCUCUAAAGUUUGCCCAUAGAUUAAAGAAGUCUAUGGAUUCGGAUUAAGAAAAAAAAAUGUCACUAAGUCUCUUCAUCUCCCACUUAAUCAUGACUUAAUUUUUAAUUUCUGGCUAAUCGGCCCAAUUAACCUGCUGCUGUCAGUGGCAUUGACAAGCUGGUACAUAUGAUAUUUAUUUAUUUGAUUAAAAGCUUCACCAAAGUCCACCACUUAGCUUUCUCGCCAGGUCUUCAGUCUUCACAGAAUCAGCUUUGAAAUGUAUCGUUUCACAUUCGCAUAUGUAUCCGAUGCCGAAUUAAAAAUGAUUGUGUUUUAUUCAGCAAUCUUCGUGUGGAAAAUAAUUUAAUCAACGUGGAACAUGCGUGCAAGCAAUAAUAAUUUGGAUUGAGCUGAUCAAAAAACAGAUAUACACGAAGAAAUUCAAACAAGAACUUGUUCAUACGUAGAACGAAGUUUUAAUAUGUAUGGGACACUUAAGGUAUACAAGAUGAUCACAAUGUUCAAAAAUUACAUACUCAAGAAGCACAAACAGACAAAUUCUUGGGCAAAUUUUAGCAUAAUUUUGUUAAAUUUUCUUCACGGCGACUACGACAAAUGCUUGUAUUCCAUUUCAUUUGUUAAAUAAAUUGCCAGUUUUAUUGGAGAAGAGACGUGCAGUAGCGAAACAUGAUUUUACAUAAUUUUGUCGUGGUCAUUGAUCAGCUUAUUUAUAAGCAGCACGCGAGAUUGCUCGUUGACUCUGUGACUGGUGUUUUUAUCCUGUCUCACGAGGUGCCAAAUUUUUCUAACCAAAAUUCAAGAGGAUCAUCGCAAAAACAAUUUCCACGCACUCCAAAAUCUUCUUUCCUUUGAUAGCCUCUUUUCUUGGAGGAAGACACGUAAACAGGUGUCUCUGUUAUCAGGUCAUACUGAACAAAAGAUUCCCAGAUGGCAAAUUGAGUCUUACAAACAUGUUUCGGUGCAAAUGAAGAGUAAAAUCUCAUUUUCAAUUUGCUCUCUUUCGAAUCAUAUUCUGUCGGUUCAGUUUGCUUAGCUGGUCAACCGACUAAUUGAGCAGAAUGUGCAAAUUUAGAUUGGUGGGGCAGUUGUGUCUCAAUUCACAGCGUAAGAAUGAAAAAGACUUGACAUUACGUUUCGUUCUGGUGCACAUGCAACCGAACAAAUAGCAUUAAUCCAAUGACAUUGUACGGAAUGGAAAAAAAUCAAAUAAAAAACAUCUCGUAGCGAGUGCUAUUUAUUUUGGUCAUGUUCCUCGUUCUCUUGUUCAAGCUAACUUAGCAUUUCACAGAUUUUGUUCACAUUUGUUUUUUUAUAAAAACAUUAAACAAUUUCAUUUUUGCUGUGUGCAUGGUGUACACAUUAAUUAACAAGGAGAAUAAUAAUAAUUAAAAAAAUAAUAAAAAAGGAAAAUAUAGCAAAUAGUCUGUGAGCAUCAUCAUGUAUACGGAGCAUUAGCUCACAGAAUAUAUAAUAGGAUUUUUUUAAGUUCCAUUUUAUUGUAACUGACAAUUAGACAAAGGGUUAUUUUAUGAUGGCGUGAUAAAGGUUGCAACAUCAAUACCAUAAUUAAAUAUAAAUUAUGUAAACGAAACAUAAAACUUGUAAAUCAACAUUAAUUAUAGAAUAAAACAUAAAUUUGAGAAAUUAAACAUAAUAAUUGUAAAUAGAAGAUAAAACGUUUACAAAAAAAAAAAAUUAGGACCAAGUGGUAUUAAUAAGUUACAUUAAAACGUAAUUCGGGGACACUCUUAAAAGUAAUAUCGCAAUUGGGACAUUAUCACGAGUUAACCAGGCAUGCUUUGAUCAUAUUCUAUGCUUGCUCAUGUCAUACUGGCAUGGCCACGUUUUAAAAGCUGUGCACGAGGCAUGCAAGUUUUAGGCAUGUUGCCACGCUUAUGGACAUUUAUCACCUGCCAGCUUAUCAUCCAUUUUUAAUACGGAAAAAAAAAAAGAGUACCGAGAGCAAUCAAGAUAGAUUGAUAAUCCUGAUCAAACAAAUGCUUGGGCUUUGGGGGAACAAGAAACAAGAUUACUUACUAACAUAUGAAAUUUUUUUGAAAUUCUAUUACUUCCACUAUAUAUGAUGAAUUACACAAUCAAACAUCAUCAUAUAUGAAACACAAAAGUUCAAUUAUCAAUUAAAUUAAGAAGAUACCACCCCUAGCUUUUCGCAGUGAAAACACGCUAAUUAAAUCUAGCAGUCCCACAAAAAGGUGACAGAACCCACGCUACUGGGAAAAAAUGACAGUUACUUCGUGGAAUCACCACUUAUUUUUUGAGUAGAUAGAAUAAAUAUAAUAUUCCUCUUUUAAGUCCUUGCCCGGACGAGAGGCGACUGGGGAAUUGGAGAGUGAGGAGACAUCAUGUGCGGCGACAUGACACCUUGUUCGUAGAUCCUCGAUGAGAAGCUGACGCGAAGAUUCUGCUGCCAACGUUUCUUGGUUGGUUUCUCACUUUCCUUAUCCUGUUGCACAAAUGCGGCAAUUCGGUUUAGUGCAACUUGCAAUGUGUCAUCAUCCAUGUUAGCAAAGCAAACCCUAAACCAACCAGGCUCAGUACACUGAAACGAAGAGCCAGGCGAAACAUUGAGCUUCACAUCGUUGACAAUGGUGCGCCACAGAGCAAUUUCACCUUCUAAUGUUUUUUCCUUAAGCAGAUGACGCAAGUCCAUCCAAAAAAAAAGACCCGCAUUGCUUUUCAAGCAGUUGAUUCCAACUUGUUCAAGUCCCUUGGUGAAAUUAUGGUGUCUCUUAGCUAACCUCUUGGAGGUCUCCACGAGAAAGUUAUCGACAAACUCAUCAUCAGAGAGCAUUGAAGCAAGCAAGUACUGAGUCUGCGAAGAGACUAAACCGAAGCUCGACAUCUUGCGGCCGCAAUUCACAACAGUAUCAUUAAACGAGUACACAAUGCCAACUCUAAAGCCAGGGAGCCCCAUGUCCUUAGACAAGCUGUAAAUGAUAUGAAUGAGGUCACGAUUGCAGUCCAUUUCUUGAAUGACUUCAGCAACGCUCGUGAACUUAGGAGAGCUGAAGACAGUGGCCGCAUAAAUCUCGUCGCAUACAAGGUGAAUGUUCUUGUCAUUGAUGAAGCUCACUAAGCUUUUAAGUGUGUCUCUGUCCAAAGUUGUGCCUAGUGGAUUCGAAGGGUUUGUUAUGAUCAAGCCUUUGAUGUUGAUGCUGGCUUCUUGGGCCCUUUCGUAAGCUGCCUCCAGUGCUUCUCUCGUUAUUUUGAAAUUGUUGGAGAUGUCGCAGUGAACUGGGACAAUUUGUACCCCAGUGCGCCAUGACAGAUCACGGUCGAAUCUGCAAUCAAGAUUAGAAUAUUGUUCAGUACACAUUUUAAUUUACUCGUUACUUAAAAAGAUAUGAUCCACGUUGGAUUUAAAAUUUUAUUUAUUUUUGUCAAUGUAAUUAAAGAGACAAAAUUUGAAAGCUGUAGUAGAAUUUUAACACAAAUUCUGAUGUAGAUUAGACCGUGGAAAUUUUCCAAACAUUUAAUUAGUUUGGUUUGAAUUUUGACCAUCGAACCAACAUCAAAGAAAAGGACUAGUUUUUCAUUGGUCUACAGUUCAAAGGUCAAUAAUGCUCUUGGUCAAUCAAAUGUUGAGUAAUUAAUGGAUUUUUUUUUUAAAAAAUAAUUGUUUUUCUCUACCACUGAUCUAGAAUUUAGCAAGAUUCUAAUCUUGAUUAGUUUAGUAUAUUAAUUCACUAAUUCCAAUUUCAAACUAAGGUCAAUGAGUUUGACCUAAUUCAUUUAAUUCCCUGCGUUGAAAAUUGAGGGGAAAACACAGUUGAAUAAGACUAAAACACUGGAUAUAUGCAUAUGGUAGUAGGUGGUGUUCGCAUGUCGCUGGUCAAGUUGUAGUAAAUAGUAAUAGCAAGCCCAAGACUUAGAGCCUCUAAAACCAUGUUAAUGCCUUUUCAUCUAGUGCUUUUAUUUAAAUAAUUUGAAUGUCAGGAUAGCCCUCUUCUCUUCCAUCAGUUAGUUUUCAACUAACUCAAUAUCGUUCAACCUCUAGUGCUGUAUAAAUUAGCACAAAAUUAUAUUAUAAUUGAUGAAGAAAAUGUAAAGAAGAGAGAGUGUUUCGUACGCUGCAUAAUAAGGUGAAGGCACAAGAAAAGCAUCGCCAGGAUUGGCUAAGCAAAACAUGAUAAGCUCGUUAGCUCCAGUUGCUCCGCCACCCAUAACUAUACGAUCUGGAUCAAAUGUUACCCUGCCGCCUCUCCCUUUCCCCAUAAACUUUGCCACGGCCUGCAAAAAAUUUAACAGAAUCGUUAUUAAUAUUGUUUCAUGAAGUAACAGUAAUUAAUUAUAUGCUGCAUGCAUGUUGCAAUAUAUAUAUAUAUAUAUAUAUAUAUAUAUACCUGUCUAAAUUCCGGGAGGCCAUGAUAGUCCUGAAAGAUAGCAAUAUCUUUGAAGACUUCAACACCUUCAGCUGUGCAAAUUGAUGCAUAUGGGUUUUUGGUAAUCCAAUCCUUGAUCAAAUCGAAGCAAAGCUGCAAAUAAGAGAGGCGAAGCAAAUUAUUAAUUACGCCGUAUAUUAAUGACUUUUGCCGCAUCGGGCUGUGACGAUAUAAUUUAAUUAGAAGGAGCUGGCUGGCUAGCUUGAGGCCAAACCUGAUUCUCUGCAAGACCAAGUUGAAUGACACCCCCAGGAUUUUGAGUUGGGUGAAAAGGGUUCCUAUCAAAUGCCUUCCACCCGUCGAAGUAAGCCGAGUCUUCGCCGUGGCCAUUGUUUGUAGCAAUCUUAGACAAGAUUCCCAUUGUCUCUUCUUAGUAAUCUUGUAUGCGAAAGAAAAAAAAGGUCAGUAUUUUUUAUUGUGUUAUGGCUAGAGAAGCUUGAAAUUGGAAUGUUGAAUAUUUUUAGCUGAGCUCUAGCAAUUUAGUGAGGGACGAAUGAUAGAAGUGUGGGGAUUUUAUAGGCAGUGGGAGUUGGAAAAAGUUUGCCAGCACAGGGAAAAGUCUCUUCAAAAUUCAAAUUGUUGGAAAAAAAACGAGACUCUAGGUUGGAAAUUAAUAACAGGAUUUAAAAUUCCUUCUUCUUUAUCAGUCCAAGCGUAAUUGCUUGCGUGUAAAUUCAUGAUUCAUAUAAAGCGCAUCAGCAUUUUUGAUAUAUAAGUGCACGUGUAAGUGGGGUUUUUGAUUUUUCAUACUUUGCUUACAUGGAAAUUUAAUCGGGAGCCAGAAGCUGGCUUUGCAAUGUGCAUGAGGAAUUCAACAGCACUAUAAAAUGAAGUUUCCAUGAAGUACACGGGCUUUGAAGAAUUUUUGGAAAUAAAAUAUGGGGAUUUACCGUAUUGCCGGCAAAAGCACUUUUUGGGCGGUAUUUGGACUUAUCUACCCCAUAGUUAUGCCAUGAGACUCACAAUGAAUGUACCAGGUGUUAAGUCAGGAAUUAAUUAAUUAUUUUAAAAAAAUAAAAAAAAUUGGGGGCAGUUCCAUUAAUUUUAUUUUCUUCGCCCUUUUAACAAAGAUUGCUUGCGCGACAAGGAUUUUUCUAAGGGUCCCCCACAAUUCCAAUCCGAUUUCCUAGGUUUUUCUAAGACAUUUCUUUCCGUUCUUUCUAUCUUACAUGUUAUGGAAAUUAUGUCUUAAUCUUGUCUCUUGCAUGAUUUAAUUCAAAGAUAUGAAUUUCUCAUUUUUAGUACAAUCAUCUUAAAAGGUAUUGCACCUACCUAACGUGUUGAUUUCACUUAUGCGCGCAAUCUCUUAUCUCUCUUUUUUUUUUAUUAAUUACUUUUCAUACUUAAUUGGUCAACCGUGUUUAUGCACUCAUAAAAUAUCCUACUUACUUGAUACUAAUUUAAGUACAAACACAGUAGAUGUUCAAAGACAAAGACAUUUAAUAUGUAGCCACCUAAAGCAGCCACCGUCCUUUACCGGCUAACGUGAGUCAUGGCCUUUGCCUCACCGGCACCGCUCACCAAUUUUCAAUUGUAAGUUAGUUUUUUAAUUCUCUAUUAGCAUUUCUGUACGCAAUUCUAUUCUGUCACUCUUGCUAUAUAGAUAGUUAGAUACUCUCUAGAAUCUUGUACUUUUAUUUAUUUAUUUGUUUAUUUAUUUUUAUAAACUAUAUAUAGUUGGUGGCUUUCUCUCACCUUCCUCCAUACUACAAAAACAAGAUAUAUGCAUAAUAUAUAGUUUAUUUUCAAUCAUGAAGUUCCACGUUUCAUUUAUAGGUUCUGUGCUUAUCAGUGAAUUUGAAUUUUCGAGAUUAAUGCUAUAUAUUGGUUAUAAAUUACAUCACUUAUAUAUAUAUAUAUAUAUAUAUAUGUAUAUUUUGGUGCGAACGAGAUUUGAUUACCAAUUUCCAUUUGCAAAGAAAUCGCUUUUAUGUGCUCUUUGGAGCAGUGGACUAAAUGGGACUCAAAAUACUCUCAAAUUAUAUGAAACCCCACCAGAUGCACCUUAAUCUUAAACUUGCUUUUGAUUUUGAAGUCGCAUUGAAAAACACGAGUCAUCAAUGACGUAAUUUGUUAAAUUAGACUUUGAAAACAAGCUACGUUACUUGAGGUUCACGACUAAACGUUGCUGUGUCCAACUUUAAAACAUUGUGUUCGGUAAAAUGGAUAUUAAUUUUAGAAAAAAAAAAAAGUAAAGUGAAGAUUCGGUAGAUUAUUAAUUAAAAAGCAAAACAAAAACGAGUGGGAAAUUCACUAUUUGACUUGGCAAUUACAUUUGUCCAUCGCCAAAGCUUCUCUGCUUUCUUGCGCGAAGGGUAAUUUCUUUCGCCCACCCCAGCUGUAUGAGUUGGUUAGCACUGAGCAUGCCUGAUAUACUGUCAAUUCAUAACAUAACAUAGGCCAUCCGUAUUUAAUUAAUUGGGUAAAUUCUUCUUCAGUGCAUAGAAUUAUUAGGAAUCAAUUCUCAGUUGUUGAUCCAAAAAUAUUCAUCCCAUUAUUAUUUCUGUUAGCGUAAAAUUUUAUUGAAAGAAGUAACUUCUUUUAUUAAUCUAAUUUGCUAUACCUAAUAACAUCAAAAUACAAUCUUUUGCCCUCUAAAUAGCAUCUAUUUUUAAAUAUAGGAGGGAUUAAUUGUGAAUUAACGUACGCUGGAUAAUAGAGAUUAGUUUAGUUUAGUAAGGAAAAAAAAUGAUAAAUAGUUAGUACUCCUCUAUAUACUACAUAGUUUGUUUAUUUAUUUAUUUUUUUUUACCAUACCGAAUUAGAUAGGCAGCUAAGUAACCAAACAAUUAGAGACAAUCUAUCUUGAUUGAGAUCAAUAGGUUGGCUUAGACCGCAAAUUUUAAAAAAGUAUAUUUAGUUCCUAUUUGAAAUUGAGGUGUUGUAAUUUUUAAGUUACAGUUUUUGUAGAAAAAAUGUUGCAACUAUGAAACGAAAGUUAAUAAUACGUAGUAAAUAAUAAUGUUGACAAAACUAUUAAAAAUAUAAUAGAUUUUUCAUUAUAUAAGUGAAAACCAUAUCAACAUAAUUGUGUUUAUCAAAUAUGUUAGUGCUGUAUCUUAAAAGUUAUAGCUACUUAGCAUCAAUUUCAAACGGACCCUUAACAUGAUGAUCAGAAAUCUGUUACUUCGAAUAUUUUAUGUCUGUCUCAUUAUGUAUGAAAAUGAAAAUGAAAAUAUUUGAAAAUGUCAUCAUGGUUUUAUCGAAAAGAAGAAAAUAAGAAAAGAAGACGAGGAUCGAAGACAUCUUUUCAAGACUGGCCGAAUACAUUAUCUGAUAAGCGAACUCAAGAAGCUCAAAACUCUUUUUCUAUAGUUAGGUGCGAGUGUGACUACCGCUUGUAUAGUUGUACAUAGGGUUUUCAAACUUUGUACGCAUCGAGAUUGUACACGUACAUCUUUUAUGUGAUCUGAUCACUUACUUGGGUGUUGGGUCAUUGAUGUAAUUCUAAAUUCUAAUAAUUGUUGAUUGAUUUUGAUUUGAUGUCAAAUAUGAAACAAAACUUUGUUCAUUUUUUACUUAAAGACGACACAUGACUUGAGCCCUCAGGUGAUUAAUAUUUUCCACCCUUGUACGGCAGUAUUCAACCACUCUACAUGUGUACUCUUUUUUUUUUUGAGGAUAUGUGUGUAUACUCGCUCUACAUGUGUGUACAUUAGAUUGACUUUGUGGCAUUACUAGCUGCUAGUGUAAAUAAAAUCAAUAUCAAUUUGAAACCGUUUUUAAGCUUAUUAUAUAGUACAAGUUAUCAAUUCGCAAUCUAGUAGUUUCAAAUGACAUGCUCUUACUAACGCUCCUGUUGAAUAAUUGGUAUUACUCGUCAGAAACAUUACAUAAUAAUAAUAAUAAUAAUAAUAAUGUAGCAGAAUCUACUAUUUUGAAUUGGACCCUUCUGGUGGUUAAACAAGAUAAAGAUUCUGGAUAAUUCUACUAUGUUAUUAUAUAAAUUUUCUAGAUUAAUAAACAAAGUUUUAAGAAGAGCUAAGAAAUUAUGUAUGAAACUAACCCAAUUAGGGCUUUUAACCGCAUGUUCUUUUGUUAUUUUCCUGGUAAAAUAUAAUAAAAAAUUUAAACAUCAUAACAUAUAACUAUCAUACGAUCUCUUCAAAAAAAAAAAAAAACUAUCAUACGAUAGAAUGGCUCCUUAAAUUUGAACAUUAUAAUAUGUAACUACUAUGAUAUAAAAUAACCUCUUCAAAUUAAAAAAUAUAUAUCUCCCGGUCAAUCACAUGAGUCGAGCCAUCAGUCUCUCAACUAAUUUUGAGUACGAAGAAUAGUAUUAUAUGUUAAGGGAAAAUUAUCUCCCAACUAACCUAAGAAUAUCGAAAGUUGAAGAAGUCACUGCAAAUUUAUGAUAAUAUCUAGACACUACCUUGAGUUCUAAUUUUAUAUCAAUCAAUUAUUUUUUUAGUAAUUUGGUUAGCCACCAUAAAAAAAAAAAAAAAAAAAAUCUAAGACAAAAGACUAUUUCAAUUAAGAAAGUAAAGCAAUGACUUUACUAUUUUUUCAUUUUAGACUGAGUUAACGAAAAAUUUACUGAGCGAAAUAAAAUUAAAACUUAAUAUAAAGAUAUCAUCAGAAAAAAGUCAUAGUGACGACUUGCCUUUGCAAUAACGUUGAGCUAGUUGGAGCUUAUCUCCCUUUGUUAAGUAACAGCGAAGGGCUUUUUGAUAAUUUAAUGGUCAGCCAAAUCGGUGGCUGUUUUCUACUUGACUUUUUUGGUCAAUCGAAUUAAAAACAGUCUUACUAGGUGUCCAAUUGGACCCGCUUGUCCGGUUGUCUUCCACUGUUGGUGAUUUUUUUCGAUGGCCUUUUUGUUUACAAGGCUGCAAGUCAAACUUUAAACACGUGUUAGUUCUGCAUAUCUUGGCCGCCGGAUCUGCCUUGUUUGUUGUUUAUUUAACUCCUCAGUUGAUUUUACUGGCUGCGACCUUUCCAAUAGCAUUAUUUAUUUUUCAAAAAUUAUUUUUAUUCAAUUUUUUUUUCUCUUCACCGUUUAAAUCGAAUAUUAACUUGUGAUAAGAUUAAUAUUAUCAAUAAUCAUAAAACUCAUCACUUGUUCACAUAAUUUUUUUAAAAAUGCAAUACAGAAACUCAUCGUAUGUUGGUGGAGACAGGAGCGAAUGUAGUGUAGGACUAGUGGGGGCUUGAGCCUCCACUGAAAAAAAAAAAAAACCCUUUUUGUUUAAAAAAAUUAAUAAAUUUUUAAAUAAUCUCUAUCAAAUUAUCAAAAAGCCCCGUUCUUUCAGUUUCUAUAACCACAAUAGAGAGAACAUUUUCAGCAAUGAAAUUUAUGAAGAAUGAACUUCGGAAUCGGAUGAGAGAUGAAUGGAUAAAUAAUAAUUUGAUUGUUUAUGUAGAAAAAUAUGUAUUUAAUAGUGUUGAUAAUAAGUGUAUUACACAAUGUUUUCAAAAUAUGAAAUCGCAUAAAGAACAAUUGUAAAUGUGUUAUAAAAAAUUUUAUAUACUCAAGUUUCAGUUUUUACAUUUUGUUGUUAUUUAAUUUAGCCCUGGGUAAAUUAUUUUUUUAAAUCUGCCACUGGGUGGAGAUGAUGGUUGACGGUGAAAAAAAUUGGUGGUGGUGGCAAUAUUGAGCUUGUUGUUUACACCAAAGGGAUUGGAAAAGAGAUAAUAAAAUAAAAUAAAAAAUAAUAAUUUCUGAAAAAUAAUACAAUAAGUUGAAAAGUGAGGACCCGUAAGAUAAUUUGAGAAGAUCAAAUGUCAUUACUGCUCCUAUAAUUCAUUCACUUAUUACAUAGUUCAGCCCAUAAAUCCGAUUCAAAAUUCCAUAUAGCUCGAACUGGUGUUCCUUAAGGUAUCUUUGUCCAUCAAAUUGGUGUACAGUGGCCUACGAAAAUAAGUAAGAUUCCGACUUUUCAAGUAUUUUGUAUGAUUGACAAAAAGAGGACAAUGUCACUAUGAAAUGAGAAAUUUUAUAAUAUUUAUAAUGUAUUGCAAUCAAUUGAUGCAUGUAUGAUAUGUGUAAUUGAAUUUAAUAUAACCACCACUUGCAUGAUGGUUUUUUAAAAUAAAUGCACACUUAUUAUAACAUUAUUUAUUUAUUGUAUUGUUGACGCGAUAUAUCUGAUGUAUUUUAAAAUUUCUCGAAAUGAAAUUUGUGCACCCUCUUUUCCAUUGGGCAAAUUCACUUCCCACUCACCGGAUUGCACCUAAAAAUUGCAGGUGACCACACUGCCAUAGAUGCUCAAACUUACUAGUGUUUGAUGAUUUGAAUGGCAAUUCCUGAUUUUGGAUAUAAUAGAUACACGUACCAAAAGAAAUUGUCAUCUCUAGUAUUGACCAUUAGCGCCCCAGUGAAUUCAACAUCUUGCAUCCUCUUAAAAUUCUUUUCAAGUCUGAUUGGCUCCAACUAGAAAACUUUUAUUUAUCAUGUGAUUAUUAAAUAUCGCACGUUGAGUUAAGACUGUUAAAAAAAAAAAAGGACUUAUUAACAGUUUUGGUCCUGUUUCCAUUCAACGGGCACGAUGGGGUGAAUUCAACAAUCUUGCUUCGAGGUUUUAACCAAUCCAGGCACCUGGAACCAGCAAAUUCCGCAGGCCAAAACUAAAGAAAAAUCAACACCUAAUCCGGUAGAAUGUUGAACAUUCUUAGCGGAAAACAUUAUACAAAGCAUUUAAAUUGUAAAGUAACCGGUUAUUCAUGUUCCGAGAGAAUGUCUUUGACACCAUUGCUGCAAAAAGCAAAGGAUUAGUUCAAAUUGAACUCUUAUGAAUCCUGUUUCCAAACACAUGCGGGUAUUCUUGUCUACCUCAAUGCUAAACUUACCAUUGCAUUUUUCAAUAACCUUAUUUUGACCAUUACUCAUAUAUCAUUUCAUCCCGCCGAAAGCACAACUGGAAUCAUCAACAUGAUUGUAAUAUGCGGUAACGAGAUAAUUAUUGAAAACAUGGCUAAUAUCAAUGGAAGAGCAAAAUCUCUAGUCAAACAUUGAUGAAACUAUGUCAACAAUAUCAAGUGCUUCAUUUUCACUUUGUCGGAGUUUGUAAAAUAUCUUAAAACUUUUCAGAGCCAGAUCAAAAAUGUUGUGAAAAGGGUUAUUUUAAUGCAAGAAAUUCAACAUCAAUCUAAUGUACACCAUGUGCGUCAACAUUGUGUAAAACACGAGACGAACAGAUAGCAGAGACACAUGCCUUCUGCAUGGGAAACUUUGCACAAGUUUGACUUACAAUCUAAAUACUGUACGGUUCUUUGUUUUUGAACAUACUGGAUACGAAGAAGCUUAGGCAAAUACAUUUACUUGAUGGUUUUCAGAAACUACUUUUCAACAUAAGCCUAAAACUAGUUCAAAACAAAUAAACAAAAGAAAAAACAGCUUUUACUACCUUUUAAUUUUAUGAGAUCAUACAAAAUUUCUACCCAAAAACUCAAAAUAAUGUGCUAUUGUCCAUGGCAAUUCAGACACCAAAUUUACUUUCGAGAUAAAUUGGCAAAGCUUCGUUGUAAAACGAGAGCCUUUUGUCAUCUCACUACCUUAUCCUUUGAUCCGUUGCUUCAAGUCGAAUAAAUAUUUACAUUACAAGACUUCAGUAGCAACUGUCCCAAAAAUAGGUGUUUCUUCGUACAAUAUGACCACUCAAUUUAAGCUUGAAUGAGCACAAUGUGAGGUGUGACCACGUUGCUAUUGGUCCAUCCAGAAGGCAAUGAACCAUAUUACUGGAAACAAGUUCAGCUGCCCCUUCACUUGUAUUUCUCUUUAGCAUAUCAAUGGCAUGUAGCUAAUGAACUUCAGCCUUUCUUUUUGGACACAAAGUCAUCGAACCUGAGAAGCUGUAUACCUAGUGACUUGAACAUGUUCUUACAUUCAAUUAGUGACCGACCCUUCCAAAGAAGUGUUCUAUUUGCAAGCUUCCUUGAGACUGCACACUGCUUGUUUUUGCUCCAUAUUUUAACCUCUUGGCACACGACAGAUUCUCCUUACCAUCCUGCAUAAAAGAGGUAGAUGCUACUCAUAUUGUUAAACUAUUAAUGUCAUAAAUAUGAAAACAUGUAAUAUAGACCAAGUGACACCCAUGAACUGUAUGGGGAUGACAGCAAUACUACACAACAAUAUUUGAAGGGAGGUGGGGCAAUGAAUAUAUGAAUUCAACACAAAAGAGUGGAAGUUAGCAAGAAAUGAAAUGCAACUACCUGCUUGUAAAGAUUCUUAAAACCAUGCAGAAUCUAAGAACAGCACACUGAUAGGAAUAACUACUAUCAAACUGAUAAGAAAUACGGCUCAUAGUGCAAAGAAAUUGAACGGGGAAAUGAAUCUUUGAACCCACCAUUGAAGAUUGAUUGGAAGACCUCAGAACUUUAACUCUACCACCUCUGCCAUCAGCUCCAACAGUAAUCAGAUCACCAAUAUUUGAUCCCUUCAUCUGGCCACGCUUGCACCAUUUCCCCAAAUACCGAUUUGUUCCAUCUGGGCCAAGCACUCCACUUGAGAAACAUACAUCCCCUGGAAAUUUUAGUAAGUCAACAAGAAAAAGGUGUUGAAAUAUUAGAUACCAACAUUCUUUGACCAAUAAAAUACCAUGAACACAAAAUAAAGAAAAAAAAGACUAUUUUCAUUAAAUUAUGGUAUUCCAGAUCAAUCUAUUCCCCGAAAGCUCAAAGAAAACUGAAAUUGCACCAACAAGAAUAUACCUGGUUUGGAAAGUGACACAGGUGAUGGAGGAUUUUUUUUAAUGUUGACAAUGGGCUGCACUUGUGCACUGUCAGGAACAAUCAAAGUAACAUCCUCAUCUAUAUCAAUAGUAGGAGCUGAACCUAAUCUUGACGGAGUAGGCUUCUGGACAACAUCAGCAAUGGUUUGAUGUAUUGAAUUAUGAUUUGAAAGUCCAAACACAACUGAAGAAAAUCUUGAGGUAUCCUCACGUUGUAAAGCAUUUCUCUCCUUCCCAUGAGACUUGGCACUUCCACCUUCCCUGGUAUGAUUUGCAUCAAUGUUCUUAAUGGCAUUGAAGUUUUCACUCUUUGUGGAAAACGAAAAAUCAUUGGUCACUCUUGAAGUCCAAUCCAAAUUAUAGAUGGGUACUGAAUGCUGUUCCCUUUGAUCUUCAAGUGAAACGUUAUUGGUACACAAAGAAAUAGAAUUAUCUUCAGUAGCACCCUUGAGAAUCUCUUCCUUCUGACUGGCUUUCUUCGAGACUUUUAAAGCUCUCAAAACUUCAUUAUCUUUUAAUUCUACAGCUGUCUCCAGUUCUUGGACCCUUGUCUGAUGAUAUCCAAGUAAGAAAAGGUUUGUUGAGUCAAAUUAAGAACAACUUACCAAAUAAGAUUUUGCAUUGGUUCUCAUCAUCGACUAACCUUUAGUUUAUUUAUUUUUUCUUUAGCUUUCUCAAGUUUCUCAGAAAAACGAGCCUUUUCUCUUCCUAGAAGAUUGCACUUGGCCAUCAAUUCUGUAUAAUUCCUGUUAAAAAAAUGGUCAGCCCUAAAGUAUGUGCAAUAUCAAUAGUAACCAAGGAAAAAAAAAUGCAGGAUACUAACAUUAAUAUCAUAAACACAUGAUAGACAUUCUCCUGAUAAACACAGUGGAUUAGUGUUAUCUUGUGAUCUUUAAAGAUUAAAUCAUUUUUAAAAAUAGAGCUGGCCAGUUGACUUCAGUUGAAAUCAGAAGCCAUGGUAAAAACUCUAACAAUUUGUACAGCAAGUAUAUCUUAAUAAAUUAUUAGUAUGGACAAAAUUUUAACUCACUUAUUGCGAAUGACCAAAGACUUUCUUAGAACAUCUAUUGUAUCCUUGUUGUUCGCCCCAUUUCCCAAAAGGGCAAAUUUUAGAACUUCAUCUUCAUCCAGGUUCAAAUCGGACACCCUAAAUUGAAUAACAUGCAACUGAGUCAGAAAGCAAACAGAAAUUCGUAAAACGAUUUCCAAUUAGUCAAAAAUAGUAUUGAAUUACAACACAACUACACUCACAAUUUGAGUGAAGCAAGCUCUUUGGCCAAAUCCAUAUUCCUUUGUUUCAGCUUCAAGCAUUCUAAUGUUACUUUAUCAAGCUCCUAUAAAACAAUUUCCAUAAACUUUCUAAACAUAUACCUAAUUAUCAAUAUAAACCAAAAUCUAAUAUAAAGCAUCUGAACAAUGACAAAGAAAGUAAGCCACCUGAGAUUUUGAAUGAAGCAAUUGUUCAACGGAUACUUUUUGUCUCAAGGCUUCAUUUUUUAAUGCUGCUUCCUCCUUAAUACGCUCUUUGCAAAGACACAACUAAAAGAACAAUUGCCUAUUAACAUCAAAGCCAAAAAGAAAUCCAGAAACUUCUAUUUUCGUUUUUUUUUUUAAGAACAAUCAAUUAAUACCUCCUCGUUAAUUUCUUUAAUCUCUUUUCCUUGACUCUCCAAAACCGUAUGGAGCCUCGAAACCUUGACUUCCAAUAUUUUCACUUCAGCACGCGAAACCUCUGGAUCUUCAACUUCGGGAUCUUUGGGCUUCUGUGAAAUAACCAAAUCGAUUUGGUCGCCAAUUGACUGAAAAUAAAGUCGACUUACAUUACUCGACGAACAUCUUUGCUUGCACACAGGACACGUGCACUUCUUCGAACUUGAACAGUACUCGAACCACUGCUGUAAGCUAGGGUUUCCAGCAAAAAAACAAAAAACCAAUUUCAUAACACACAUAGUAAAAGAUUGUUUAUAAUUUACUCGCACUCACCAGAGCUCGUGAAAGACGUGACCACAAAUUGAGAUAACUUGGAGGUCUUCAACAAUUGGCUUGAGAUCUUCGUAACAAAUUGAGCAUAUAGUCUUGCCAAAUUUGUUCUCAAUUCCCAUCUCUGUUUUUUUUCGGGUCUUCCCCUCCGUGGUUGCCCUCGCUCUUCUUUCUCUUCUUAUUUUUCUUGAAAAUGCAGCGAAAUUCGAAAACAAAAGCGGGGGAGGCGGCGGGAAAAUGUGAAAAUUUAAAUUAUACUUUUGGCACCGCACAGAAUAUCACGUGCCAGUCACGUGGUCUUCCGGUCAAUGUUUUUUCCUUUUCUGGACAUUUUUAAAAGAAAUGGAAAAGCCCAAAUUGGGCCGGCGAUUGUCGCUUCUUGCUAUUGUUAAAUCUUCACAUUCCGAGUACCAUUAUUUUUUUUUUUCUCUCCCUUUUCUUGAAUCUUGAAUAUUUAACACAGAUCGAUUUACAUUGCCACCAAAUGAGCAUGAAAUUUUGAUGCAAAAUAACAAUUUUCCAAUUAGACGAAAAGAAAAUACCCUAGUAACACUCAUGAGAAGGGCGCAAUCAAGUGGUCGUUUCUGGUCCUUAUGGCACAGAAACAAGAAUAUCGACCUCCCUAUUCGCUGUGAAAAUGCCCACAAUUUUUUCGUUUUAAUCACACGUUAUUACCGCUACGAAUUUUAAACCUUUCCAUUGAGACGGUGACUCGGUGGGCAAAGCUGGGUCGGUUGACUUGGGAUUUGUUUACAGGGACUGGGCUGGUCCGUUAAAGCAUGGGCCAUACUCAUUGGUUUAUUGAGGGACUGAGGUGGCCCAUUAAAGCAUGGGCCAACACUUAUGCAGACUGUCAAAUAUCGUUUUUGGGCCCUUUUUUCUUUCUUCGAGAAGAUAAAGAAAUUAAUAAAACUCAAAUUUGUUUUUAACCCUCCGUCUCUCCUUGGGAGACUGGUUUAAAACAUUUUAAUUCCGGCUAAAACCAUCUAAUUAAUUGUUCAAAGUUGAAAUCUAAAGGUGCUCCAAUCUUAUCUUUUUAUUUAUUUAUUUAUAUGAAAGUACAGUAUGUAUUCGUUGCUUAUUAUAUAUGACUCUGUCUUUGCACUAUAUUUAUUAAGAAAAAUAACCCGUUCAAGCUUCUCCUUGCUGUGCCUACAAGUUUCCCCCGUCGCUCCUCACUUAUUUAGUUUUAAUUUCCUUAUUUCGGCCUUUAAACAAGAGAAACUAUAUUAUACAUUUUACUUUAAGGGAAGAUAAAAAGGCUGUCCAGGCAACUUAUUAUAUUAUUAUUAUUAAUUUUUUAACAUAGCUCAUUUCCCUCAACAAACGCAUUACAAUUUAUACAUUAAAAUAUUAUCUGAUCUAAUACUACAUUCUGUCAAGGCUCGCUUGAAGGUUAAAAUCGUCAUUACAUGAACAAAAAUGAUUUCGUUGUAAUUAUCGUUUGUUUCUCCAGCAUCACCUGGCUCGAUCUACUACCCAACCGAAGCUUACCAGAAAAACGCAAAAGGCCUGUAUAUCGUACCCCUCUCUCUGCUGUCUCGCUCCUUCACUCGCCGAAGAGGUACCAUUCAAUUUCCCUCUUGCCCCUAUUUUAUUCUUGCUCUAUACUAUAGGUUAAAGAGCAUCGUUUUAUUUUCUUUUCAAUUUCCAGAUUUUUUUCCUGUAAUUUAUCAAGCUAGCGAUGGCCUGAUUUGGUAUAAUGAGAGUUCAGUUUAACUGUGUUAUCAAAUCAUUAUUACAUUCAUUGAUCUUCAUUGAGAUAGUAAUUGAGUGAAUUGCUACAAUUUGAGCGUUAUUUUAGGGCACUGCAUGAAUUUGAUUGAGCUGUUAUUUGUUUUUUUUUUUUUUUUAUUGAAUUACAUAAGUUUCUCUUUAGUUAUCAAUUGAACUUAGUACCUUAGUCGUGUUUGGCUCAUCAUUGUAAUGUAGAUAUUUGUUUGUUAAUUUAUUAAUACGGUUUGUGUGUAUUGUGAUGAGUUUUAAGCUUGCUGUUUAAUGCAUUGAAAUUGGAUCAUCAUAUGAUGAACAUGUAGUUUUAUGCUCCUGAUUGUGAAUAUGUGAACCAGAUGAAAGAGAGUCGAGAUGGAAUCGGUCAUGAUAGAAUUUCAAAAUCGUCAUCGGUUAGCUCUAUUCCACUCAUUCUUGACAUAGAUGACUUCAAGGUAAAUACUGAAAUGGAUCUUAUUUACUGUCAUUAUUUUUUUUAAAUUCUAGUGUUCUUUAUAAAAAUACUUGAUUAAUGAACUUAAACUUAAACCCUAAAAUUUUUGUUUUGCAGGGUGAUUUUUCUUUUGAUGCACUAUUUGGGAACUUGGUGAAUGAGCUUCUGCCCUCUUUUCAAGAAGAAGAAGCUGAUUCAGCUGAUGGACAUGGUAACGUUAGCGGGAAUGAUACUUUGCCAAAUGGGCACAAACGGGCCUCAUCAGAUGCAAUAAAGUUCACACAAGGAUUGGCCGCCCCUUUAUUUCCAGAAGUGGAUGCUCUCUCAUCUCUGUUCAAGGAUUCUUGUAGGGAGCUGAUAGAUCUUCGUAAACAGGCAAGUGUUUGUGCUUUGUUGGCUGCGCACAUAUAAUUUCUUUUAUAUUUUUUUGCUGAUUUUUCUGUUGUCCUGGUUUUGAGUUUCAGAUUGAUGACAGACUCUUCAAUCUCAAGAAAGAGCUUUCUGUCCAAGAUUCUAAACACCGCAAGACACUUGCUGAGGUUAGUUACCUUUGGACCAUUUCAGGAGAUGUACUGAAAAGAUUCCAAAGAAUCUUGGCAAUUACUAAUUACUCUAAAUAAAACAUCUUUAUCAUAAAUUUUAAGUUGUUAAAGAACUAAACGUCCUCCCAUUGUAUAGUAUAGUAUAUCAACUAUCGAUCACUAAUGGCAGCUCAAUGCAUCUGACUACAUAUUUGGAUUGGAAGUAGAAUGUACCUAAAUUGCACAGUCAACCAUAAUAAUCCAAAGAGUCAAUAUCCCCAAAUGGAUAGAAAGACAUCUUUGGUAAACAAUGCUAUUAUUCAUAAUAGUCUUCACCCGCCCCGCUUCAACUAGUACCGUUUAUUUGUUUCAAUUUGAAACUGACUUAAGAGUCCUACUGUCUCUUCUAACAUGACAUUCUGCCCAUUGUCAGAAUGAGGAUGCUCAAAUAGCUAGAAUACUUCAGAUUAUGAAUUAUUUGAUGAUUCUGUCUGUGAUUCUCAGUUUUUCACUUUAGAAGAGGGAAAAAAGGGCCAAAAAAAACACAAAAACAAAUUGCUAGUUAUUACAACUGACCCACAAUUUUGACUGCAAUGUCCUUAUUGUUUAGCUAGAAAAAGGUGUGGACGGCUUGUUUGAUAGUUUUGCAAGAUUAGAUUCACGUAUAUCAAGUGUUGGACAGACUGCUGCCAAAAUAGGAGAUCAUUUGCAGGUAAGUGUCUCAUAAUUUCUUGUCCAUGCUUCUGAUCUUUGUUGUGCUAGUUAUGUCGUAUUCACUUUCUUGUUGGACCAAAUAGAUUUAUAUUUUUGUAUGAAUGGUCAUUUUCUUAUCAGAGUGCAGAUGCUCAGCGGGUAACUGCUAGUCAAACUAUUGACCUCAUAAAGGUACUUUUUAUCUGUGACGUAGUAUGAGAUAAAAUCAGAGGGGGGUCACGUUUUAUCUUUUCCACUUUCUUUGUAGAUUUUUUUAGUUUCUUUCCUCGUAGAAACCAUUAUGUAUAGGACUGCUUGAAUAUUAUCGUGUGUGCUGAGUCCUUCCCCUUCUACCUUUUUGUGAUAAAAACUUCUACUUGCUAAAAGUAAAUAUUAUGCUUUCCUUUGUUUAGAUUGGUUUAACUCAUUGUCAACCUAUAUCCUGCAGUACUUGAUGGAGUUUAACAGCAGCCCAGGUGACCUAAUGGAACUUUCACCUUUAUUUUCUGACGACAGCCGUGUUGCUGAGGCUGCUUCAAUUGCAGAGAAAUUGCGUAAGUUUGCAUUACCUUUCAUAUGAUUCCAUUGGCUGUCCAUUUUCGCAAGAAAAAUUCUUUAUUCUCCCCAUGGCCUUGGUGGUCACUGUAUACUCGCAUAUUUCUUCUGAUGAUUCUGAUUUUCCUCUAGAAUCAGUGGGUGAAACAUAUAUAAGUUCAGCCAUCAAGAAUCAUAAGUUUUUUUUUUCCUUUUCUACAAGUUAAUAUGUGUCCAUAAAAUCAUGUCAAUGGCAUGUGCUGAUAUGCAUUAAUCCCUUUUAUUAGUGGCCUUGUUUUUCAUAGCUUCAUAUUUUACCAAACUGCUAUUACCGGUGAAAGAAACUGGUGUUGUUGGACUAAUAUUUUUCUUUCAGUUAACAAAUUUCUUUUAUUAAUCCAAAUUCAUCUCAAGUAAAGAUCUAUUUUGCAAAUAACAUAAAAGCUUAUUAUUUUUUCCCCUAGAACUUCCUCCCUUUUCUAUAGGAAGGGAAAACUUUUUUUGAGGGACCUUUUUUUUGGGUGUGUGAAUAUGUGUGAAAGAAAGCGACAGGCCAAGAGAGAGGUUUUUUUUUUUUUUUUUGAUGAUUGAUAUCCCAGGGAAAAAGGAGAGAUUGAUAUUUUUAAUUGUUAAGAAUUUGUUCUGACGUUGGUUAAACCUUGUGGUGUUGUUUGGUGCAUCUUCCAUCCAUAUGAAAAAAAUUAAUGCCUUUCACGCUUCCCGCGUUGAUUUCAGGAUCAUUUGCUGAGGAAGAUAUUGGAAGACAAGGCAUACAAGAUAUGGGAAAUGCAAAUGCUAGCAGAGGACUAGAAGUUGCUGUAGCUAAUCUUCAGGAUUACUGCAAUGGUACGGUAUCUUCAGUAUAAUGCCAUUCUUAUUACUCGUAGGCUUGCGACAGCUGUUGGGAUGCACAUACAUUUUUAGAAAUUGUUUUUGGCUGAUUGUUGGCAAUGAGAACAGAUACUAUGUUUCUUAUGAAAGUUGAAACGUUGUUUAAUGACUAAACCAUCAGUAUUUAUGUGGUUGAAAUAGAAUUAUAUUUUCAGAAUGACUGUUUCUGAAAAAUAUUGGUAGAAAAAUUGAUGAAAUUUGCAAGAAUGAAAAGAUUUUGUCCCUGCCCCUUUUGUAGAAUUGUGGAUCUUCCUACCACUUCACUGACGCAUGCAUUUUUUGUUUGCUUAUCCUUGUUUAGAACUGGAGAACAGAUUGUUAUCUCGGUUUGAUGCCGCAUCACAAAGAAGAGAACUGUCUACCAUGUCAGAAUGUGCUAAAAUUUUAUCUCAGGUGAUUAUUUUUCAGAAGACCUGAAUGGUCUAAUUCUUCAUACCCACCUCUGAUUCCAGUUACUUGUUUUUUUUUAAUUUCCUUUUUCUCCUUCCCAAUUCUUUAUAUGCAUGACCAAGUGAGAAACAAUUGUGGUUCAUUCAGAAUAGUUUGAAGGGUGUUUCUAAUUCUUAGUUUUGAGAUUGUAUUUAGAUUUGAUUUUAUUCUCUUGGAUUUAAGAAACACCUAAGCCUUUUUAUUCGUUCACUGCCUCUGAGCAUGUGUCUGUAAUGAUCAUCCUUUAUUUCUGUAUUUUUCUUUUAAUACAAUUUAAGUUAUUUCUUUGGCCCUUACCCUGGUAUUGUCUAUUUGAAUGCUAAAUUGACUUCCCUAUUUCAGUACCAACGUUUCUUCUGAGUGGUUUCAACUGGUCUCAGUUGGAUCUUUUUCCUACCAUCUUAUUGGUUACAUUUGCAUAUUGCAAUGCAGUUUAACAGGGGUACUAGUGCCAUGCAACAUUAUGUGGCAACACGUCCUAUGUUCAUUGAUGUGGAAGUCAUGAAUGCCGAUGUCAGACUAGUUCUAGGCGAUCAGGGUUCUCAAGCUAGUCCCAGCAAUGUUGCUCGAGGACUUGCUUCCUUGUACAAAGAAAUAACAGGUUUGGAGGAUCAGAAUUGGUCUGAACACAAGGGUUUACAUUUCAAUGGCUUUUUAGUAUGAUUGUCGCUGUUGUUGCAGAUACUGUGCGGAAAGAAGCAGCAACAAUUACUGCAGUUUUCCCUUCUCCUAAUUAUGUCAUGAGUAUUCUAGUUCAGGUACCUUAGCCUUCAUUUAUUUCAUGUUUGCACUUUUUUCCUUUUUGGCCGGAAAUUGAGUUGUUAUUUCACAAUAAUGUUAAAUAUUUCAUUCAGCGAGUUUUGGAGCAGCGGGUUACAGCCAUUCUGGACAAACUAUUAGUGAAACCAUCUCUAGUGAAUCUACCUCCAAUGGAAGAAGGCGGACUCCUAUUAGUAAGUAGAAUUACUAAUGUUAAAUUACAUUCAUUCAUGCAAAUGUGAGUUUAAAGUGACAAUCAGAUAUUAACUCUGGUGUGUUUGGCUUGAGGCUUCAGUAUCUUAGAAUGCUUGCCGUUGCUUAUGAGAAGACACAGGAACUUGCUAGAGACCUACGAACCGUGGGAUGUGGUGAUUUGGAUAUUGAGGGUAAUGAAUUAGUUGCUUUGUGAAUAUUUCUUACACUUCGUUCUCACAACUAAGUUAAAAGAAAUAGUUGUUUGGAAUUGCAUUUUUACGGGGAGGAGAGACUAUGUUGAUUAUGGUCGUAUGUAGUCUCAAGUAAUUUAAAUAUAGAUGUGCAACAUGAAUGUUUAAUGAAGAAAAAUAAUUUUGUUGCAUGUUUUUCUUGAUAUCUUUCGGCGAUAGUCAUAAUUUAUGACAACUGAGAGACCUUCUUGUAGUUGAGAGGUUCAGAAAUGGUUAAGAACCUUCCUUUUGAUGCCUGCAAUUAGCAUUACCCUGUAAAAGUUAAACCAGAUAAGGUGGAGGUUAUAUGGCAUCGUUGGAUUUAUCAUUUAGUGUAGUAAAUUGACUCUGGUUAAUUAUGGUAUCUAUACAAAUAUUAGACAAAAUGACAUUAUGAAAUUUGAUCAACUAUUGAUGUACUCCCAACUGAUGUAUUUACUUCAAUUUGCCAAAUUUUGUCGGUUCAGGUGUCACAGAAUGUCUUUUUACUUCUCACAAGGAGGAAUAUCCUGAACAUGAACAGGCUUCUCUUAGACAACUAUAUCAAGCUAAGGUAUGGAUCAAGUGCAUUUCUUGAUCAAAAUUUAUUGUAAUUUUGUUACAGUAGCUGCAACCAGUAUUAUUUCUGGCAGAUGGAAGAAUUGCGUUCUGAAAGCCAGCAACUUUCUGAGUCAUCAGGGACAAUUGGGCGCUCUAAAGGAGCUUCUGUAGCUUCUUCUCCCCAGCAGAUAUCUGUUACAGUUGUGACAGAGUUUGUGCGUUGGAAUGAAGAAGCGUUAUCAAGAUGCACUUUAUUUUCAUCUCAAGUAAUAUUUUGUUUGUGCAAUUCAUAUUUUUGGUUUUAUAUUGAGUUUUAGUAUUCAGCAGGUAAUCUAGAAUCUGAGCUGGAUCUCAGCAUACAUAUAGUGAACUAUUGAACAAGAUAAUAACAUAUAAAGACUGAAAACAAUGGGCCAUUUCUUUUCUUUUCUCCUUUUUCCGAUGUAUUAGUGGGAUUUCUAGAUGACUGCAAGAAGGUGGGUCAAUGGAGAUGUACUUUUGGGGGUUUUCUGCCUUUUUCUGUUUUAGACCUGUAACAAAACUAUAUUUAUCAGCUGGUUCUUUUUCCUCCUGAUACCUAUGAAUAACUAGUGAAGAAGUAGCAUGUACAUUUACCUUAUGGUGGUGACUGUUUUCAGCUUUAUUUUGCUGGCGAGGUUAAAUGAGUGCUAGGUUUUGUCACUUAUAAUUAGGAGCUUUUUAUGCCCUUGGCUCUGUGUCUUGGUUAAUUACUGCAUUAAUUAAAUAGCAAUGACCUGAGAUUCGACUAAAGCAGGAUAGUGAUAUCAGAAUGGAGGAAUGAGCUGGGAAAUUGUCAAAUGAAAUGCUGGGAGUGAUUAGGUUCAGGUCUGAUAGUAUUUGAGAUGAAUUAUUUUAUUUAUUCAUUUAUUUAUUUAUUUUAAAGUAUGCAAUAAAAUUAAGGUUAGAUGCAGAGAAGUGUAGAGAUUUUUGGUAUUAUGAGUCUCAAAUAUUAUGUGAUUUUAUUACUCAUUGAUUUUCACUUACCGUUUACAGCCUGCUGCCCUUGCUGCCAAUGUGAGAGCAGUGUUUACUUGCCUGCUAGACCAAGUAAGUUGGUUAAAAAUUUGCAUAGCAUUUUGCCUCUUUUUUGGGGGGGGAAUACUCUAAUAUUUCUUUUACAGGUCAGUCAAUAUAUAACAGAGGGGCUUGAAAGGGCUAGGGACAGCCUCACUGAAGCUGCAGCACUGAGGGAAAGGUUUGUGCUGGGCACAAGUGUUAGUAGAAGGGUGGCUGCUGCGGCUGCAUCUGCUGUAACUACUAUCCACAUGCUACUUCAUGCCUUUUAAAAUUGUCUACAGUGUUAUAUGUACAUUAUAUGCCUCUAGAAAAAUUGAUGCACGUAAUGGAAUUGAUUGGUUGAUGUGUAGGCAGAAGCAGCUGCUGCUGCUGGGGAAAGCAGUUUCAGAUCUUUCAUGGUUGCAGUACAACGUUGCGGUAGUAGUGUCGCUAUAGUUCAGCAAGUAUGUUUGCAUUGACGCCAAUUUCAUAUAUUUAAUUUUAGCUUAUGAGAAAACACUUCGAGAUUUUGAUUAUAAAUAUGAACUGAACUUGGUUUCUUCUGAAAAAUGGAGGGAAAAAUUGAGAAUAUUUAAAUUAAACUUUUAUCUACAGUACUUUGCAAAUUCUAUAUCUCGGCUAUUACUGCCUGUGGAUGGUGCACAUGCUGCUUCAUGUGAAGAAAUGGCUACUGCAAUGUCCAGCGCAGAGGCUGCCGCUUAUAAAGGGCUUCAACAAUGCAUUGAAACUGUGAUGGCAGAGGUCAGUUAUUGACAUUAAUUAAUUUACAUCUGCAAUUUAGUUUCUGACGGACCUUAACAGGUCACGGGGCAUGACUGUUAAGAGAAUCACAUAGAUAAAUGAUUCUGUCAAUUUGUUGGUGGUAAUGACAUGUCCAGAUAAUCCGCUCUUUCAGUAACAUUUUGAAUGUAUAGAUUAGGGGUGUUCACGGAUCGGAUUUUACGGAUUGGACAUCAAUCCAUAUCCGAUCCAUGAUUUUGCAAAUUAUAAAUUUUCAAUCGAAUCUAAUUCACGGAUUGGUGAAAUUCAAUCCAAAUCUAAUCCAUACAUUUGCGGAUUGGAUGCAGAUUUAACCCAAUUCAUAUCCAAUCCACCAUUUUACGGAUUGGUUUGCAGACCGAAAAUUUUUAAUUUUGUCCGAUCCAUGAAUUAACUAAAUAAAAAAAUUUAAUAUAAAAAUAAUUUUAAUACCGAUCAAAUUUAAAAUUAAAUAAGAUUUAAAUAAAUUACUUGUUUAAAUAAAACUAAAAAUUACAUUUAAAGUUCAAAACAUAACACACCAAAAUGAAAAAAAAAAAAUCUCAUUUGUUUAGAUGAGUACAAGAAAAUUAACUAUUUAGAAAGUUAUAUUUGUUUAUUUAAUUAUUUUUAUUUUAUUUAUUAUCGGAUAAUAUAUAAUAUAGUGUUAAUGUAAUUAUAUUUUAAUUUAUUUUUUUACUAGUAAGCACUAAUGCCAUAUUUACAAGUUUUAUUUUUUAAUUAAAUAAAUACUUUUUAUUUUUUCACGGAUUUGCGGAUUUUUGCAGAUUUACAGAAGUAGAUCCAUAUCCAAUCCACUGAUUGCGGAUUAUCAAAUUUUCAAUCCAAUCCAAUCCACCAAUCCACUGAUCGGAUUUCUACGGAUCAGACGGAUUGAGCGGAUUGGAUUGGAUUCUGAACACCCCUAGUAUAGAUCCAGCACAUUUACAUUGUGCUUUGUUUUCUUCCUCAUAAUCGGAUAGUUUCUUGGUAAGUUACAUAAUCUCUUAUGCAGGUGGAGCGGUUGCUGUCAGCUGAGCAAAAGCCAUCUGAUUAUAAAUCACCCGAUGAUGGAAUUGCUCCUGAUCAUCGUCCAACUAAUGCCUGCACGAGGUUUGCAGCUAGACGAUUCCUUUCUUCUUUUAACCAUCUGGCUGCAUGCUUUUGCAUUCAACUCAUUGUGCGGCAGCAAAAUUAUUUUCUCUAGAUAUAUGGAAAUAAUAAUCUGAAUCCCACUUUUACUGAUCAUAUGCGCACUCACAUAGGAUGUCUUGCUCUCUAUUUUUGCCUGUCCCAAAUUUGUGGUUAUUGUUAAUGGAAUUUCUCUCUCUCUCUCACACACUGCCCCAUGUAUCUUUCUCAAGACUUUAGUUCAUUCCUUCAUCUCAAGGACAAAAACUUUGGUAAUGCUACAUUUCUUUUAUGAAAUGUCAAGAAUUAAUUCUUUCUCAACAAUUUUCUGUGGGUCACUUUUCUCAGUCAAGGUAUUAGGUUUCGACUCCAAUUUUUGAUAAAGGUGAUUUUGUUGCCAUUUCUGUGGAUCAGUAUCAGACAGUGUUUUCUCUUCAUAUUUUGUAGGCUAGGCAUUUUGUUUCAAUGUUACUUCCUGAUAUAUACUAUUCUCUUUUUGUAUAGAGUUGUGGCUUACCUUUCCCGCGUGCUUGAGGCUGCAUUUACUGCGCUAGAAGGUCUCAAUAAACAAGCAUUCCUGACUGAAUUGGUAUAGUAUUUCUGGUUAUCAAGAUUCCUAUUUCCUAUGCAUGAUUUCUUUGAUUUUGGUGGCCAUGGUUGCUUGUUUGCAGGAGAGUUCCUUGUGCAUUUGGUAAAUAAAUGUGUAUGAUGUGCAUAUUUAAUUUUGAUUUUGCUGAAUUUUGUUCUAUGAACAAUAAUGCCUUUUAACAUAGUAAAACGUUCUGCCAGUUCAGAUCUAUAUUCACCAGUUGUGCCAGAUCCAUCUUAAAAUACUGUGCAAUGCUUGUAUUGAGCAUUUCAUGUUUUUUAAUUUCUACUGUUUUCAACCCCCCUCAAAAGGAGUGGUGGUGAGAUAUUCUUUAGAAUUCCAAAAUGAGAGUAUCUACAAAGUUUAGAAGGAUAACGUGGUAGUGUUCAUUCUUUUAGGGAAACCGCUUACAUAAAGGCCUGCUUAAUCAUUGGCAGAAAUUCACGUUUAAUCCCAGGUAAUUCUACUGCUCUGAUUUUUUGCUUGUUGAACUUAUGUUUGCCUUCAAUGAUAAUGUAAACAGCUAUUGGGAUCAUCAUAUUGUUUUGCUUGCUUUUUGUGAAUGACUGAGGUCAGUAUCUUUGGUAACUUUGUAUGGAAGUCACCAGUUUAUUCCUGUAUAAUGAGAAAUUUAGAAUUUAUUGUUAGUUAAGUAUAAACAACCAAACCUUCUUCAUGAAACAGAAUUGGAAAAUAUUUUGACCUAGAUAGGUAUACAGUUCCAUUUGCCAUAAUAGUGUUCUGUAAAGGAAUUAGCAUAGUCCCAAAUUCUAUUUUUAAGUUACCGUGCUUUAUUUUCCUGCUUCAGUUUUCUUUUUUGGCAAACAUUUGGGGUUUUCUUAACUGAGAAGUUUGUAAUAAUAAGAGAGUUGAGUUUCUUCGUUCUUGUUCUGCAGACACCUUGUUGUGUUAGGUAGGUUCUUGCUUUCUUUUCAGUUGGCUCUAGCAGUCAAGAGUGGCUCUUUUUGGGUUUUCUUAUGAUUUGUGUAUAUACCUUAAUCUAUUAUCUUGUCGUCCUCUGUAAACGAGCAAAGUCUAUUGGUGACAACCCUGCAGAUGUUAUCUGUGGUAGAUGUAUAAAAUGCGUCUUCUGAUGAAUUCCUUUACUUUUUAGCUCCAUUUCAGUGCUAUUUACUGAUGUGUCAUCUUCCAAGGCAGCACCAAGUCAUUUGAUGUCUUUGCAUGUUCUGCUUCUUAUCUGUCUUCUUCUUCUUCUUUUUUUUUUUUUUUGUUUGCAGUGGGGGAUUACGCCUGAAGCGUGACAUAACCGAGUAUGGAGAAUUUGUGCGCAGCUUUAACGCUCCUUCUGUUGAUGAAAAAUUUGAAUUGUUGGGCAUGUAAGUUGUAGUAGAUUUAGUAGAUGUCCAAAUUUUACUUUAGCUUUAACUAUCUCAAUCCACUAAUGAAAUUUUUGUCUCCAGCAUGGCUAAUGUCUUUAUUGUUGCUCCUGAAAGUCUAUCUACUUUGUUUGAGGGUACCCCCAGUAUUCGGAAAGAUGCGCAAAGGUAUUGGUUUUGGCUCUUAUUUAUGCACUAAAACAGCCAAGUUUCAAUUACUGCGGAUUAUUAAAAUAGAUAUAGUCCAGAUGCUAUUCUUUGGUUUACAUUUUCUCCGUUGUAUAUAAUGGUAAACCUUGUAAAAUAUUUGCUUUAGCUUUACUGUCUACAAGUCAUGAGAAUCACAAAUGCCUUGCCCAUUCUGUCUAACUAGUAAAGAAUGUUAAAAACACACUUUCCAGACAAAGCACGAGAUAGUGAGCAUUUAUCUUGACACAUUUAACGAGGACAUUGUUUCUCACUGUGGCAUGUCUCUCUGUCUUUGUAUAUUUCUGUAAGCCUAUUAAUGACCUUAACUUUCUUAUCCUUUUUGAAAUUCCUAUCUGGCUGUUGAUUCAGGUUUAUUCAGCUUAGAGAGGACUACAAGAGUGCAAAGCUUGCAUCCAGGCUUAGCUCAUUAUGGGCAAGCUCUACUUGACACUGAUGGGGUAUGCUGAUAUGAAGGUGACCUUCCAAUUCUCUUGAAGAUCUUACCUAAAGAAGUUAAUAGCGGGAGAAGGCCGAUACUUAAUGGUGGAUAGUUUUGGUUGCACAACUGAAUCAUCUCCUCCUGAGAAUCAGGUAUAUUGGAGUUUUUCUCUUAUAAUAUUCUUUACUCAAUUCCACCAUUUUUGAGUAUAUAUUGUGGAAACAUGAAUGGGAAAACACGAUGGUUGUAUUUUUAAGGCAGCAUUUCUAUUUAAGUUAUAUGUUAGGUUUGCAGUUUUUACUUUGACCAUUCCAAGUUGGAAAGAUUCUAUGUUUCUAAGUGCACCUUUGUAAAUGAUACUCUUUAGGAAUAAAUAAAAGACAUUUAAGGUUGGUUUCGUUGGUCUGUGUGAUUUGUGAUCCAUACUGAAGUUAUAUAGCGCAGGUUUUAUAUAUAUUUUUUAAUUUGUAAAAUUUUCAUUGGAUUUCAUAUUUUAUACUAUUGGAAAUAGUCCAUCUUUAAAAUAAAGCUUUGCCUUCUUGUAUGCUAUGGCUUUUGAGGGUAUCUCUGAGAAACUGCCUAGUAGCUUUUUUUCUGGUCAUAGGUAACUUCUUCAUGUAUCUGAGUACCCAAACUAAAUUAAAGUGGUACCAUAACCAUUGAUCAGGAAUUUUGAUUUUUGGGAAGAAUCAUAUGUGACUACUUCGUGCAUAUGAACACCCAAAAUAAAUUAAACCGGUGUACAAUUUUUUGAAUUUCGAAAAUUCUUAGUAGAAAGUGGAAAUGAAAAAUACAACUAAAAGCAAUGUCUCGAAAGUAGUAGUUCACAUUAGAAAUAUAAAGAAGCUGAGACUUUCGAGAACAUUGAUGAUGGCUGAAAUUGUGCAAUUUUUUCAGCAAAAUCUGUAGAUAAUGAUAACCUAAUGUGAUGUCAAGGUAGCGCUACAGAUUGCACUUGUAGCGCGAACAUUAUGGAUAUGUUUGAUAGAAAGUAGAAUGAGCAUGAUGGCUUUGUUUGAAUACAAGGAUAAAUUAGUUGAGCGUUUGUAGGAUUGAACGACUUGGUUGUUAUUCCAUUUAAAAAGUUGGUUCCAUAAGAAAAAGUUGCAUUCUAUCAUAAAGUUUUUAAAAAAUACAAGUUUAACUUUGGGCACUUCUUUCUGAUGAACGAUGAUAAUGUCCAAGGGCUUUGAAGACUACAACGAUAGCCUCAUAACGAUAAUGGAGGCGGCACAAAUGAAGGCUCAAAUUGAAGUCAAGGUACCAAGUUCAUAGAAUCACUUGACCGGUGGCAUAGAAAUGUGUAGGCUGUGAUUAAGACACCUGGCUCCCGCCCUUAUAUGUGGUAUGUGUCAUGUGUGGUGGGGUGCCCCCAUCCUAUUUUACAUAGUGUGCCACUGGCACCUCUUUCUUUCCCACUAUAAAGUGCGUGCCCUCUCUCUCUAAAAUUUGGCACGUUGAGAGAUAUUGAUUGAUUGAAUGAAGCAAAUUUCAGUGGAGGGUUAAGUUUGGCAUCGAUUGCUUUAUUUCUCAUUGAUAGCAAAAGUAUCUUUCAGUUACUGCAAGUCCUUGUGCCAAACCCACGAUAAUUUUCCGUCGUCCUCUCACAGAAAACCCCCCAAAAAAAAAAAAAAAAAACAAGAAAAAAAGGUGUUGUUUGAAGACCCCACGGUGACCACUGGGUAAUAAACUACUCGUGGCUUGUUGAUCAUGUGCCACAUCCCAAAUCUUUUUUAUUCUCCAUCUUUCGACCCAUGCGUUUAUCUGAUCUUUUAAAGUAGGAGCUCAAAAAUCUUCAAGCUCUUGUUCCAUUUCAAUUCUAGCUAGAUUCAAAUUAAAGAAAUAUAUAGAUGAGCAUGUAUGCUUAUAUAUGACUAACCAAAUGAAGAGACUCGGACCAACUCCCUUUGCCCCCAACAAACAAACAUAAUUCCAAUCUACUGUGGGAAGUAGAUUGGAAUUAGCAUCUAAAAUUUAAAAUAAUAAUAAUAAAUAAAUAAAUAAAUAAAAACCUCCACCAACCAUCCCCAUCCCUACCAAAUUUGCAAAGCAAGUGCUUUACAACUCGAUCGAUAUCAAUAUAUAUAUCAUAACAUAGAACGUGGGUAAAAGGAAAAAAGGAAAAAUGAGGAAAAAAAAAAGGGAUCACCGGCAGGUUGUGUGUGCUAGACUUAUAGGUAAUAGGUAGUGGUGGUGGUCCAAUUCUAGAAUCUCUUUUAUGCCAUCUUCAAUCUACACCGUCAAUAAUCAUCUCUAGUUUGCGAAAAGCUAGUUAAAAUUAAGGAUCCAUCAUUUGAUGAACCUGUGUUUAGGCCAGUUUGAGCCCAUUUGGUAUCCAACGAAAGUAACGGUGAAGUUUAUGACUAAUCAGACAUUCCAUAAAUUAAAUGUUUUUUUUUUUUUUUACACUUUUGGCAAAUUUUAGGCUCAACAAAUUCGGUUUUGCUGAAAUAUAAAAUCUCAAAAGUUUUGAUUUUGGAGGAACAGGGGAUCAUUAUUAGAUUAGGAUUGGUAUAAAGAGCCUAUGAUUUGAAUCACUCUGACAUGGGUUGACGGUGAGGAGAUUUUUAGUUUCCGCUGACGGAUGCUUAUAAAACCAAAAACAAAAAAACAAAAAAAGGUAUUCAAGAUGGUCAAGUUUGAUAAAACUUAUCAAUUAGUUGAGGUGAAAAAUGAAAGGACUUCAUGUCUCCGCAUAUCAUAUUGACAUGUUCCGAGGAAAUUAAGCGGAAAUUUCAAAAACCCGCGCAAGUUAAAACUCCUUGUCGUAUACAUAUUACUGAUUACAAAAUACAUAUGUAUAUGUAAAUGAACAAAUAAAUUUCUGCAAAAUUUGGUCAAAUAAAAAAAAUUAUUUUAUAGGCUAGUGCAUAGGAUCGGGUCAACCCAUUUUGAGUUUGCAAUCAGCACAUAGCAAGCAGGCCCACCUAUUAAGAGAUCUGCCCCACACGCUUUACAAUUCAAUGUCUCGUGCUAACCACGUCUUGGAAAUCCAACUUACAUGUUCUACUUGAGUUUCUUAAGACAAUGUCAGCGAAUCAUCCGCCGUUAGAAGAGAGGAAAAAAAGGUGCCCCCUGAUCCAGCCGGUUAAAUAAUCCUUGACCGUUGAUCUUGCUUGUCAUAGGAUUCUGAAGAUAAAGAAACCGGUUCGCAUUUGAAUCACGAGGCACGCGAUGCUGGUAACGGCAUGACUUUUGCCUGGUGGGCCCCAUAAAAAAAUCUGCAAGCUGUCAAAGUGCCAAUUCACCUUAUUUCGUGCACCGCCACGCGCCCCAUCAAAUUAGUUUUUCUCUUUUAAGUAUGAACUCCAGAUCACUUUAGCCGUCGAUUUAAAUGACUGGAUAAAGCCUAAACCUUCCUUAUUUGGCGUCUAUGAAACGCAAAUUCGCUUCCUUCUAAACACGUGGCGCCCGCAGAGAUACUGUAGUUAUGUUCUGUUUAUGCUACGUCUCCAGAGACUCAAACGUAAAAAUACCUUAGAUAAAAGAAAAAUUCGAAGUGGAUACAGCAAAAUUCAAAGUGGAAAUAAAUUGACUCGCUGCCAUCAAUAUAAAAUUACUCUGCCAAAAAAGGUUGAAGAGCAUCUACCGUAAUUGUUGAUUGCUUAGAUUGGCACAUUUCCCACUUGUUUUACGAAACAUUCCGUUUCUUCCUUUUCCAAUUAUAAGCGUUCUUCAAAAAUUAAAUUUUAUUUAUUUAUUUAUUUAUUUAUUCUAUAGCUUAGUUAAUUUGCGAAAACUAAUGUCUGAUUAGUCUUAUUAAUUAACAGCAGUUGUUGUUUUAUAUGUUAGCAAUUUAAAUUUUUAGAAAUUAUGUUCUACUUUGACCGUGUUUAGGUGGAGCGGUAAAAUGCAGAGAGAUCAAAGAGAACACUAAUUAAAAAAAUAUUUUAUUGGGUCGAUACUGAUACUAAGAAACAAAAGUUAGGGAAGCAAAUGAGAAUAGAUACCCCAAUAGUCUUAGUUGUAAACGAUGGAUACUGUAUUUUGACAUUGCUGCAACUAAUAUGUUGAGUAUCCAAAUGGGGAGUAUGUUUCGCAAAAAUGAAACUAAAAGGAAUUGACGAGCCCCCGCACAAGUGGUGGAGCAUGUGGUUUAAUUCUAUUCGUGGUGAAUAAUCUUAUCAAGCUUGGCAUGCCAUUAAUAAUUGAGUUUAAGAUAGUUUAGAUUAAAAAUAUUUACAAUUGUUAGAUUGUUUUAUUUGUCUUUCAAUUUUACAUUAUUAAAAAGUAUAAAUUUUUGUAAUAAACCCCAAACAUUUGUUAAAAAGAUAAAAAUAUUUACAAUUGUUAAAUAGUUCUAUUUUUCUUUAAUUUUGUAUUACUAAAACAAAAAAUACUUUUUUGUAUUUAAAACUCUAAUACUUGCUAAAAAGAUAAAAAAAAAUUUACAAUUGUUGAAUGAUCUUAUUUGUCCUUUAAUUUUAUAAUAAACUCCAACAUUUGCUAAAAAGAUUAUAAAAAAAAAUUCCUUUAAAAAAGCGGAGGACAUCAAAUUAUGCAUUUGCAGCUGAAAGAUGAUUUAGUGAGCAUGUACCGCGGCGAGCAUCUAAAGAAGAAACAGAAAUCUACGGCUCUCAUGAAUAAGGUUAAAACGGUGGGUUAAUUAAAGAUUACAUGACACAAUCACUCGCAAAAAGGUGAAUCUCUGGAUCACUCCGGUUUAAUAACAGCAAGUAACCAAACAGACACACUGGGUGAACAAACGAAGAACGUCACGCACUAACAGGCGCGUAAGCUUGAAAAAUUCAGCCCACCAGUCACCGGCACUGACACCUCGUUGAUAGGAGCACCCAAUUUAACUGGCCUCCACUUUUUUAAUUUUUAUCUUUUUCUUUUUGUCGGUAACUCACGAGCCUCCACUAGAGCGUGUGGACUUUUUCCUUAUCAAUAAAAUCAUGAGCAAAAGUUGGAAAUAAAAAUAAUAAUAAAAAACUAGUCGGCCCUUUGACAAAUCUGGAAGUCAACCCAAUACCACCAUUAAACAACCCAUUACCGGUUUUCAAUGUCUGAAAGAUAACAAGAAAAGGACAAGAUAACAUAGAGAUGCCAACACCUAUGUUUACAAAAAAGAAAACCACUUGUUUCUCUCUCUAGACUUAUAUUUUUUAUUUCAUUUUUAUGGCCACUCUUUUCUCUCUCUCUCUAUAUCGUCGAUACAAAGAUUAUAUAUAACAGUUUCCCCACUUAUUACACCACUCUUAUUCUAUCCCUCAAAAGUCAGCGCCUUCUUUUGUCUCUGUCUCUUUCCCUUUUCCUUUCUCUUAACAGAAGUACCAGACGAGAGGGUACAGAUUCACAGCGCUUUUGUCUCUUGAAGGCUAGCGAAGAGCCAUGGAAGUUGACUGGGAUCUGCAUGCGGUGGUCAGAGGCUGCAACAGCUCCGUUAACGCCACCGUUACAACAACUACAGCCACCACCACAAGUACCACCACAAGUUUCAAGGAUGAUUUAGAUACUACUAAAAUUCAAUCUUGGUUUUCGGUUUCUCCAUUUAGCCGUGAACAAACCAGUGGUCAUCUUUUCACCUUGGCCGAUCCUUUCGAAGCAAGAAAUGCUAUUGAAGAGCUGCAUGAACUUUAUAAGCCAUUCUUUCCCAAAUCUCCUCAGCCUAUUUCUCCCAAAAGUAGUCAACCCAUCUCGUCUUCUAUUUCUUCUAUCAAUUCAUCAUCAUCAAAGGAACAGACUCAGUUCAAACAGCAGCAGCCUAAUAAUAAGCAGUCUCAUGCUAGUUCUGUCACUAGUUCCACAACUCCUCGAACCAAAAGAAGGUAAAUUUUCUUUAUAUUUUGCCUUUAAAAAAAAAAAAAGCAUUUAUUGAAUUUGUCACGACACCCGUAUCCAUAUGUGCUAAUAUAGUUUCUAUCUAAUUAUUACAGAAAGAAUCAGCUCAAGAGAGUUUGUCAUGUCCCAGCUGAAGGUCUCUCUUCCGACGUUUGGGCUUGGAGAAAAUAUGGCCAAAAACCCAUUAAAGGCUCCCCCUAUCCAAGGUUUGUUAAAUUCAUUCACCAAUAAAUUUUUUUUUAUAUUACUAUUAUUAUCUUGAACAACAGGGGUUAUUACAGAUGUAGCAGUUCAAAGGGGUGCUUGGCCCGGAAACAAGUGGAGCGAAACAGAUCCGACCCCGGUAUGUUCAUAGUAACAUAUACGGCAGAGCACAACCACCCAGCUCCCACUCACAGAAACUCACUCGCCGGAAGCACCCGCCAGAAGCCCUUCACGCCUCAAACCGUCACCAGCAGCGACUCAAACAAACCCUCUUCCCCAACUUCCUCAACCAAACCCACUUUCUCUUCCUUGUCUCCGGCAACCUCCAUGGAAGAAGAUACGGUACCCCAGAGUACAAACACCGAAAGCAGAGAAAUUGAUUUGCUCGAAGAUGAAGAGGAAGUUGAGCUGGCGGUGUCAGAUGUUGGAAUCAGUGAUGAUUUCUUUGUGGGUUUGGAGGGACUUGGCUCUGAAGAGAGUUUGCCAGAUCAUUUUCAGGCCAGUUUUGGACUCCCUUUGGCUGCUAACAGUGCUGCCACAGCCGCUGGUGGUAUCUGACUCGCUAGAAAAGUCAACGUUUGAUGGUUCUUUGGUUUUUUUUUUUUAAUAUAUAUCUUUAUAUAUGAGUACAUAUAUUAAUUAUAUCAUAUAAAAUAUCUAUACACUUUCCUUUUAGGAGAAAAUGAGAAUUCUAGCUUUGUUAGAAUCAAAUUGGUAACUGCCUUAACGCCAUUGCGAGUCUUGCUCUUGUAAAGAUAGGCCAAAAUGAAAUUAUCCCUGUAAAAUAGUGUAGCCACAAUUUUUUUUCUCCCUCUCUAAUUUACGUCUAAACGGAAUGAUCUUGGCGAUGGAAUAGUUUCAUUUUCUAUGGUGUUGAUUUUAUCUGAAUGCGAUGUGUGUGAGACUGUCUCUGAGUAACAUACAAUAUUGUCAACCGGAUCGGCUUGGCUUGGCAAGAUCAAUAUUCCGGGCCGCAUACUGACAAAGUGCCAAUUCUCUAAUUAUAUGGCAAAAGCGGGAAUUGAGUGGUAAAGCAUGUGUUGGUUUCUCAGCGACCAACACAUCAAUACCCUAAUGUGAACUUUCAUAAUAUAAGGUUAGUGGAAUAGAAUAUUUGACAGGCUAGGAUUAAUCUACUCUUUUUAACUGUCCCGGACGGAAAUUAUAUCUCAAAAAAUUAACAAAACAAUGAACCAUUUCGGUUCUAACAUCAUCAACAGCACCUAUUUGAUCUGGUCUCAUACCAGCAGAUCUGGAUGAUGUAUACAGAAGAAAAACGAUACGAAUAGUUCUCACUGGUCCUUCCAAUAUAGAUUUACAUCAUACUAACAAUUUCGGUUCUCUUCCUUUGUUGUCAAAGACCAUUGAGUAACAAAUAAUUUAACUUUCUAGAUGUAAACAAAUUGAAAUUGCAUAUAACUAGAUCACGUGCAUCACAAGCAUCUGCAUGCUUCUUUUCUCGAGUCUUUUUAAGGAGAGGAUGUAAUCUGCCAUGGACUUGUAACCCUUGAAAUUGCAGCUUCAAAGCACUAAAAGAAUACCCAUUACACUUUGGGGCCUCCAAUUAACUUGUGUGUGCGACCUAACGGGGCACGGCCAGCUCAUCUCAUCAGAGCAGCAGAUUGCAAUAGAAUCCUAACAUCGCCGCCCAACAGCUACUCUAUGCAGGAGCAGCCGAAACAGCAUAUCCUUGUACAAACUUCUUCAACUUUUCUGUUUGACCAGCUUCAGAAAGCCAUUCUGUAAGAAUCUCCAUGGAUAUAUAAUCAGGAUGACAAGCAUGCUCAAUCAUCCUAUCCAUCAAUUUAAAUGCUUUAUCCAACAUAUUCUUCUGACGGAGGCCUUUAAACAUAGCAUUGUAUGUGUUAGUAUUAGGCCUUACCUCCUUUACUUUCAUCUCUUCCAUUAGAGAAAGAGCAAGUUCUACUUGAUUAUUCUUGCACAAUGAGUCAAUGAGAAUGUUGUAUAUUACAGUGUUUGGCGACACAUUUGAUGAAGAACUCAAUUCUUUGAAAAUCUUCAUGGCUUCAUCAACAUGGCCAUUCACGCAGAAAGCAUGAAUUAGAGCUCCAUAUGUAACAACAGUAGGCACCAAACCUUCCUUAACCAUCUUUUUCAACACUCUACGGGCAGCUGAAAAGUUGCCAGAUUUGCUCAAAAAGGAAAUCAAAGUGUUAUAUGUGACAGAAUUGGGCGUCAUUCCGAUAUCCUCCAUUUCCUGGAGCACUUCAUAAGCUUUAUCCAACAUCUUUUUCUUGCAAAACCCACUAAUCAAAUGAUUGUAGCACACAAUGUCAGGGCGGAACCCAGCUUCUUUUAACUUUGAUACAACUAAACUGGCAUCGUUCAUCCUUCCGGCUUGACACAAACCGGAGAUCAAGGUAAAGUAAACAACUGAAUCAGCAGAGCAUCCAGCUCUAGACAUAUCAUCGAACCAUUUUAUUGCCUCUUGAAAAUUGUUGACAUUACAAAAAGCAGUUAUCAAGAUUGUGUAAGUAACAGCAUUAGCACAUAGACCUUUCCUCGUCACCUCCUGGAAAAACUCAACUGCACUGUUAAUUCUUCCAUGUCUACACAUGCCAUCAACCAAUGUAUUAAGAGUAACUACAUUUGGUGUAACUCCCUCCUGCUUCAUAAGAUGAAAAAGCUCUAGCCCCUUCUCAAUAUUUCCUGAUUUACAAAACCCAUUGAUUAGGCAAUUGUAGGUAACAGCAUUAGGCAUACAACCCUUUUGCAGUCUCAGUCUCAUCUGUUCAAUCAAACCCAAUGCUUCUUCUUGCUUCCCCACCUUACACAGUCCAUCAAUCAGAGUAUUAAAAAUGAUCACAUCUGGCUCAACAGAUAUCUCAGCAGUUUCUUUUCCUGCAAUCAUUUUCUCAAACACCUCUAAUGCUUCAUCCGCCCUAUACAGCUUGCAUAAUCUGUUGAUAAUAGUCCCAAAAGUCACAACGCUUGGCUCAAUAUCAUUUUCCUUCAUCUCCGUGAAAAGUUGAUUCAUUCUCUUAAAAUCUCCCUCCCUACCUAAAGCAUUCAGAAGCGCAUUGCAAGAAGCAGCUUCCAAAGGAGCAUCGAACUUCAUCAACACAUGUAAAACAUCCCAAGCUUCAUCAGUUUUCCCCUUUCUACAAAAUCUAGUAAUCAACUGAGUCAACCAAACUGCAUUAGGAAAAACACCAUGUUCAGCGAAUUUACUAACUAAACCAACUAAUUCCUCAUCAGUCACACUAUUCUUCACAUGUUCCCUCCUCAUCAAUGCAUAAAAAACAAUAUCCCCAGUAAGUUCAUUAACAGGAAACUGGGAUUCUCGGUCAAGCAUUUCGUCGAGCACAUUGAAGGCAUCGCGAUCAUGGUCGCAUCUCAACAGAACAUCAAUCAACACAUUGCGCACAUGUGUGUUUCUCAAAUUGUUGUCGAGUUCAUUGUACACGAGAAGCGAGUAAUCAUACAUACUAACCUUGCCAAAGAAGCGAAUAAGAAGCGUGGCGGAAUUGAUAGAAAGAGGAAUGUUUUGGUCUUUGCACGCUUUAUAAAGGUCAAAGAGGCUUUCUGGCGACAUGCGUUCACGAAUGGCGAGCUCAAAGACGGCUUGAUAUGCAUAUGAGAGUGACGAGGUGUUAGCUUCUGUAGGCAAAUUGGAUUGAAGGAAAUUGAAGAAAGAGAGGGCUCGUGAAGAGGAGGGGAAGCGGCGGGUGAUUUGGAAAAAGAGUUGAGGCGAGAGAGAAGUCGAAGAGAAGAGGAGGUUUUUGAUUUGGGGGGAGGAGGUCCAUUCAUUGUCUGGGGUUUGGAGGAGGACGUCCAAGGCUUGAGUUAUUAUAAUUGAUGAUUCAGAGACUUGCGGCAACGGCGAGUUAUGUUCGGUGCAAAAGUGGCGGAGGAGGGGUAAGUGAUGGCGCUUAAGAAGGAAUUUUGGUUGUUUCGUUAGAAUCAUUUCCAUUUCGUUGGGAAAAAUGAGCGCAGGAGCAGUCGCGAGGGUUUUUGGUUCAGUUUUAACAGUUAUCGACUGACGGCAUUGGGAUGCUCGGGGGAAUUUUACUGCCUCAGGCUCAGCCUUACCAUUCUAGUUUCGGGCUUCUGGUUGGGCCCUUGGUUUAAAAGGCGGUCGCUUUGCCAGUCACCAUUUAGCUUAGCUUAAAUGCUUUGUCAUUUUCUGGCCAACCUGCGGUCACAGCAUUUUGUAGCUUAAUACUUUGACGUAUCCAGGAAACGUGAUAAUAUAAUAAUAUAUUUGAGUAAAUUUCAAGGUUCAAAGCAUCGCCGUUUUGUAGGAUUUUUAAUUUUCUACAAGAAAUUCAAACUUGUUGGAUGAAGAUGAGAAUCAAUACGGUAAAAGUAUCGCCAUUGUAUAAGUAACGGCGUCUUCUUUAUCUAUUUAUUCUGUGUAUUUCAGUUUGUUCAAAAACUACAACCAUGCUAAUCAAAUAAGUUAAUGUCAUAAGACAACCAAAACAGCCCAAAACGCCACUGUUAUUUGUAGCUUCUACACUUUGUUUAAUCAGCGAAAGAGGAGCCGAGUGAAAGUGGCUCUCUGGCUGGAUUGAGCAUAUUCAUUGCCUUGCUGAAUUUCCUUCAUCAGGUUAUUUAGCUGUAUCAAUCUUCUCAGCUGCUUCAGCAGCCACCGCUGCUGCUUUGUCGAAACCCAGCUUCUGUAACUCAUUGAAGAAACCAUUACAAUCACUACUAGACAUUUUAUAAGGGCUGUGACUGGGACCAGGGAAUGAACCAUUUGUUACUUCUUCCUUGUACUCCAAUAGAGCUUUGUUUAUGACAUCUCCAACACGUGCAAACUGCUUGCAGAACUUCGGAGUGACCUGGAAAAAAGUAUGGCCACCUAUAUCUUAAGUAGAAUUCAUUGAGAAGGGAGAAGAUCAAUGAAUCAGAAUGGCAAGUAAUCAAAAUUAACCUUGGCAUGAUGUGGGUGUUGCAUCAUCCCUAAAAGAUCAUGGUAAACUAGCACCUGCAUUGAUGAUAAGAUUUUAAGUCAAUGAAACUGACCCAUUCAAUUACCAUGUAAUAAAAAGAACUGAACAAACUACCGUGACAAGAGGCAUCAAUUAAUGCAGAGGCUAGUCUCCUUAUUUGAGCUAAUGGUAAGUCUAGAAUAAUAUUAGUUUGCCUAUGAACUGACUAAAACAGAGUAGAAAUCUUCCAACCUCCAUGUGUCUCCAUUAUUCUCCACACUAAAUUGGUAGCAUUUGCUUCUAAACAAAUAUUUUUCUUUAAUAAAGUAAAAAUGUGGUAAUCAUAUCAAUGAACAAAUUCGAUUAAAGUUUCAUAAAAAGCUAAGCCUCAGGAAAACUGAGGGCAAGCUUCCUUAAAUUGCAAUGCAACAGUAUGACGAUUAGAUUACUCAAUAAUAACUGAUUAGCAUUAAGUUCAAGGAUCCAAUGGAUGCUUACAGCGAAUAAAACGUUCAUUUGAUAGAGCCACAAAAUUUAUGAGAAAAAACCUUCAUAUCCAAUGUUUAGUAGAUUGCAAUCCUAGAACCUAAACCUAAUCAACUAUAAAUACAAGGUACAAGUUCUCACACUUGCACAAAAGUUACUGAUAGUUCACAUGGUUCUAGACAUUUGUCCGAAUAAUCAUUAAAGGAACCAGUUCUUCCUCACUGGGACAACUUUUACUCAAACAAGAACAAGGUGCAAUCUCAAGUUUGAGUUUAUUUUUACACUUGAUUUCACCUCUACUGGCACUGAUUACUCAGUGCCAAUGGACUCAUCUCAUCGUUGAAUCUAAAACUGCACGCUACAGCAACUAGUCUGAUAAUCCUACUGUCUAUUUAAGAAUGAAGUAAAAUGUAAACACCUCUAUUUCAUUAUCAGCAUUGACAAUGAAUCUAGAAAAAACUAACCUGGCCACUGCAGAAGGGUCCAGCUCCAAUGCCAAUGGUAGGAAUUUGAAGAGCAGAUGUAGCUGCAGCAGCCACAGGCGGGGGCACACAUUCCAAAACAACUGAGAAACAUCCGACUUCUUGCAAAGCCAGAGCAGUCUCCACAACCUAGAUUAAAAAAAAAAAAACCAAUUCAAAAUACCCACAAAAGUAAAGGUAAAUUUCAAAAAAAAAAAUCACUUAGAAAACUAAACAAAACCAAUUCAAAAUACCCACAAAAGUAAAGGUCUCCACAACCUAGAUUAAAAAAAAAAAAAACCAAUUCAAAAUACCCACAAAAGUAAAGGUAAAUUUCAAAAAAAAAAAUCACUUAGAAAACUAAACAAAAUUUUAGAUGAAGACCUUGACAGCACUAGUAACAUUUUUCCCUUGAGGCCUGAAUCCCCCAAGAACACUAAUGGCUUGAGGGGUAAGUCCCACAUGCCCCAUAACUGCAAUUCCAGCUUCAACAAUUCCUCUUGCUGCUGUAAUUCGUGAUGGCGACCCUCCCUCAAGUUUAAUAGCGUCCAUUCCUCCUUCUUUCAAAAUCCUAACUGCCGUAUCAACUGCCUGCUCAUCAUUGAAACUGCAACAAUCACCAACUAUAGCGCACUUAAGCCCAAUUCUAACAAAAUAAAGCCAAUAACGCCUUUUAGUCCAUAUAUUUUACCACUAUUAAGAAAAUUUUGUAGCUUUUAUAUUUUCAUUGAUCCGGAGAUGAGUAAUUCAAAUUCUCGGCUCAAUUUCACCUUACUAAUAAUAAUAAAAUUUGAAUUAUCAAAUAAAUUAGAAACAAAAGCAACAUAAAAAGUGAUAUAACUUGAGUUUUUGUAGAAAAAAAAUGAAAACAGAAACAAAUAACAGACUAUAGAAAUCGUUAGUACCUGAUUGGUGCUAGACUCGUAAGUCCCGAAAGGCAAAUCCCCGACAAGUAACGGUCUCUUAGCGCCACGAGCAACAGCGCGGCAAUGGACAAGCAUUUCCUCGAGAGUGAUGGGCAACGUAGUGUCGUGACCGUGAACGACCAUGGCCGCUGAGUCACCGACCAAACAUAUAUCAAUGCCCGCACUGUCGAGGUGCACCGCCGAGGGAUAGUCAUAGGCGGUGACCAUUGUAAUGGGCUCUCCGUUCUUGUGUUUCUGUCUCAGGUGCGUGAGAGUUACUCGCUGGUUUGGAUUCUGAGGCUUUGGCCCACCGUAUACGGAAUUCUCGGGGAUAUUGCUCAUGCAGCGAACAAGGAGUGGUCGAGCUCUGUUGAUUCUAGAGAAUGACAUAUUGGAGUUGUUGAGAAUCCGAGAGUAGUGUUGUGUUAGGGUAACAAGUAGUUGAGUUUGUUUGAACAAGUGUUUCGGCUGCGCUACCUGCACACGCUUCAAUGAUACGUGCUGUUCUGCCAUGUAGAUUUAUCAGUUUUUUAUUUUAUUUUAUACCACUUAACGUUCCCUGACCGUGCGAGCGUGGAAACCACCACCGUCAAUGAAAAAUUCAGAAAUCAGAAGACAAUGAGAAAACAAAUUCUUCUCUUGAUUACUUAAAAAUUAGAAUGUGGAUAAUACUUAUUAAAAUCCUAAUUUUGCGUUUUACCAGCGUUUGUCUAAUCCUUGGAACUUUGUAGCCGUUAUAUUCUAUUAGGCAUUCAUUCAAGAUUCAACUCAGAGCCUCCGCCCUCGGUUAAAUUCAGUGAAACUAAAAUGUUAAUUUAGCGUCCACUCCCACAUUUUUGGGCAUUUCGCAUUGUACACCCACAUCGUUCUGAUCAUGUACACUGCACAUAAAAAGGUGGCAAAAUAAAUAACUGAAUCGAAUUUGAAUCAAAUCAUAAAUGAAUUGGGUCAAAAUUUUAUGAAUUUAGAUUUAAUUCGUUUAUUAAACAAAUAUUCGGUUUGAUUCAUUUAGUAGAAUUAAUAAACGAAUCGAAUCGAAUCGAAUUUAUUUUAAAAUUUUUUUAUAUUCAUUUAUCUUAAUAAUAAAUUAAUCCACAACGAAUCGAACUGAAUAUGAAUUCGUUUACAAAAAUUAAAUAAAUAAUUCAAAUCAUAGAAUUAAAAUGUUUAUAAAAAUUAAGAAAAUAAUUCAUCAUAGAUAGAGACAAACUGAGAAGCCAUCAUAGACAGAGGCAAAAUAUGAAAGUUUCAACAACAACAAAAAAAAGGAGCAAAAUUGAGUGAUGACGGGAACUGGAUCGUCAGCAGGAGAUGCAGUUCCUUUUAAUUGUUAAUAAAUCAAAUUAUUUUUCAUACUUCGAAUUCUUAUAUUGACAUAAAAUUACAAUUUAUUACUGUACAAAUUCAAAUUAAAAUAUGAUAAUAACAUACCUUGAAAAUUACACAAUCUUUUUAUUUUAUUGUGAAAUUUCUUAUACUAAUAGCCUGAACAUUAAAUUUAAUCAAUAAAAAUUAAUAAAUUUUGACUGUCUCAUAUUGUUCAACAAUAGAAUAAAAUACCUUGAAAAUAUAGUAGUCACGACGUUUACUUUAAACAAAUUAUAGAAAAUGAAUUUACAUGCAUUUGACAUCGCAUACCAAUAAAUUUUACAAAUUAACCUUUAAAUUUUACAAAUUCAUACAAUAAAACAUAAUCAAAUUAAAAUGUAAUUAAUUACAAAAUUCGUAUAACGCAACAAAAGACAAACCAGACAAGGAAACAAAGAAAUUCAACUAAACAAUCAUCAUAACCAAGAAAUACAUCUAAAGUCUGAGAUUUGCCAUGAUACAAAUAACUGAAAACUCAAAUCAAAAUUACAGGAUUUGAGGCAAAUGAACACAACCCAGAUAAUAGAUAUCAUAAACUCAAACUUUAAGAAAACAACCUAUACCACUCAUAAGUGCAUACUAUAUAUUACAAAUUCCACAAGUAAAUAUAGAUGAAAUUGAAACUUGUUAAAAUAUUAGGACGUGAACUCUACUUAAAUAAGUUUGAGGUGGAUUUUUAUUAGGGGAAUUUCAUCGAACAGGGGUUGUGCGUGUCUAUAAAAAGCAAUUACAAAAAUAAAACUACAAUAAAAACAGUGGUUACAAGCAAAUAAAUCACGCAUGAACCAUUACCCAUCGAUUUAUUCUAAACAAAAGCCCCCAACAAAUUAUGAACAAAAAGGAAGAAAAUGAAAAAUUGCAUGCAAUAGAGAAAGGAGCACUCAAAAAUUAACAACGGAUAAAGGAAACCGCAUCACUGACAGAGGCAUAUGAGAGUGGCCGGUGUUAGAAUCGUGUCGAUAAGAAUUAUCGAUGUCGGAAUCUCAUCAAGAACUGCUAUAGUCGAAAUCGUGCUGAUGAAAAUGGGCGUUUAGGGUUUGUUUCACAAAAAAAAAAAUAUUGAUAUGAAAUGAAGUUUAAAAAUGAGGAUGAUAAAAUUGAAAUUGAAUAAUAUGUAAGGCUAAUUUAGUAAUUUAACCUACAAUUGGGGAAAAAAAUCUGCUGAGCUGCAAAAACCCAGCUAUAAGUGUUACCAAACACUUUAAUAGCUAGGCUUUGGCAGCUCAACUACCUCUCCACACUCUCAAACGGGCCCUUCACCAGUUUGAUCUUCGAUCUAGCAACAGUGGUAGAUGCUUAAUGGGCUUGGACAACAAUGGCUUGCUGUCGGUGACGAAGGCUUUGGUUCAAAAAAGUGCCUAAAGCAAAACCCAACAACUAGAAACAUAAACUAGAAAACCAGAAAAAAAAUGUCAAAACUAGAAAUAAAAGUGCCAGAAAACUUCAAUAUUACCUCAAUUUUGGUUGUGAUCCAAAUAACAAUAACGGUUGAGCUAACAUAGCUUGAGAUCAAUAGAAACUGCAAAAAGAAAUUAACAUGAGCAUUGAGAAGACUGUAAAGGGGCUUGAGAUAUGUGAAAGGAUAUUUGUCGAAACCUGCCCAGUAGAACGACUCGCGAACUAUUUGAGAUCACCGGUGGCGGAAGGGGGGACGCAAUCCGCAACGGGCGUUCCUCCUUCCCCCCUCGCCACUGGGAAAGGGAAUUGUCCCACUCCUGGUUGGCGAAACAAUGAACCCUCUGCGUGAACUGCGCAAAGGAAAUCUAACAAGACAACACACUCCUGCAGCACCGAAGAUGAUGCGUCGUGGGUUCGUUGUUUCACUGGCUGGGAGAGGGUUCGUUUACAAUGCAUUUAUUAAACAAAUGCUAAAUGAAUGAACGAUCAAUAUCUUCAAACUCGAAUUUGAUUCGUUUAAUUAACAAAUGAAAUUGAAUUCAUUUAUUUAUUAAAGGAAUCAAUUUUUUUCAAAUCCAAAACCAUUUAAUUCACUUCGAAUUGAAUCGAAUAAACAAAUGUUGAUCAAAAUUACCACCCAGCGCAUCUAACACUGUCAUUUUGGCCAUUAAGUUGACGGUAAAAAAAAAAAAAGUAGUAGAGUCAUUUUAUGAAAAUCUAUAAAUGUCUUUCUUUUUAAUCGAAUAAACGAAUCAAUUUUGGAUUUUUUUUUUGUAAAUUUCAAGAAAUUCAAAAGUUAUGUAGACAUAAAUUUUUCAUUAUAAAUUUUUUUGUAAAAGUAGCCCCAAAACUUUUUAGAUUUUUUGAAAUUGACAUCUUUUAUUUUUUUUCUAUUAUAACUAGCAAAAUACUAGUUUUUUGAACUAAAACAUACUUCACAUUUCAAAUAUCUAACUAUUGCAUAUACUUCACAGUAUGUGUGAUAGACAUCUAUUUUUGGAGCACAUAACUAAAUAGUUGUAAUUGUGAUAGAUAUCUGUCGCACAUAAUGUCGCCAGCAAUAAAUGUGUGUUGCUCAUGGUUUGGUUUUUGUCUCUAAUCUCGUUUUAACUUGAAUUUUUUUAAUUAUUUUUUUAUAUCGACUAAAACUAAUUAUUUUAAAAACCUAUUUUUGUUUUAUGAAUGAAAAAUAACAAUAUUACAAUAAAAAUUCAUGUCAAUUUGAAACUUACACCUAAACUUAAAACAUUAAAAAGACCCACAUUACAUUAAAACAUAUGCUAACUUUAACUUCUUGGCCUCUAAUUAAUGAUUCUAUCUUUAGUUGCAUACUGCUACAUUUAUCUGAAUUUGGUAGUUUGUUGGGUGUGAUUUAGUGAUUUCAUGAGGUGAUGAGUUUUGAUGAUUUUCUAAAAGUGAUAUUAGUUUGUUAAUAUGUGGAAAGCAACGAGCGAUAUUUGAUAUAAAAAAAACUUAUAUUUUACUAGUUAUGAUAUAAAGAAGUUAAAGGGGUCAAUUUCGAAAUUCAGAAAUUUUAAUAUUAUUUUUAUAAAUUUCCUAUUUUGUUUUAGAUUCUUCACUGCAUUAUUUGUUAUUUAUCAUGAUUUUCAUUUAUUCAUUUUUUUGGUUGAAUUGAUUUUUUAAAGAAAUAGUAAAACAAGUAAUAAAAAAUAUCGUUAAAAUAAAAAGAUAAACUGUUGCAUAUAUUUUAUGUUUUUUACGUAAAAUCUGAUAAAUUGUAAGGGGUAUUCUGAUACUUGCAUGCUCAAUUUAAUUCAAACUAGAGGCAAUGUGAUUAUUUAAUCAAAUUUCAGCAGACCCAUUAGAUUUAACCGUCAAAUUGACGGAAAUGGGUGAGCGGUGCACGUGGUGGAAAGAUUGGGUGCGCUGUGCGAAAUAUCAAAACAUCUGGGGUGGGCGCUAAAUUACCCAAAUUAAAACACCAAUAAUUUGACUUGUCUGCGUGUUGACUUCUGAAAGUGCUUAUAUCAGAGGGCUCAGAUCCAUCAAAGCUCAUCACCCGUAAAUCUUUCACCUUUCUACAAGCUACCACGUGUUGGAUAAACUGCCCGGUCUACGCUUAGUGCAUGUUUAGUAUGACUUAUUUAAGAGUCAUAAGUACUUAUUUAAUCGUAUAAGUAUUUUUUAUUUUUUAAAAUUUUUAUAGUGUUUGAUUUUUUUUUAAUAGAAUUUUUUUAGUUUAAAUAAGCUAAUUUACCUCUACUAAUAAAAGUUUAAAAUUUAAACUUUUAGAAGUAGAGACUAUAAAGUUUUUCUAAAAAUAUAUAAUAUAAAAAAUAUCACACAGUUUAAUGGUUCAAAAAUAUUUUUUUUAUUAAUAACUAAACACCCAAUAACUUUUUAUCCAAAAAUUCUAUUGAUAUAAACUCUAUUAUUAUAAACUCUAUUGUUAUAAGCUCUAUUUAAUAAGUUGUACCAAACGGAGCCUUUGUCUCAGAUGUCCAAAAAUGCUGACAACUAACGCGCCAGCGCUCUCCUUCGUAAAACCAUUCCUCCUUUUUCGUUUCCGCGCUUUCUCGACAUCUCCUCGCACCAUUUCAAUAUUUCCAGCCACAAAACUUCACUCCUUCCACUCACGCCGGAGUAGGGUCUGCGCAUUCAUCGCCAUGACCGGAAACAAUGCCGCGGCUGGCGUAUCAUCGCCGGAACACGUUGCGGGGAAGUGGUACUCCGUACCGGAUCUCCGGCUUCGCGAUCAUCGCUUCACUGUCCCUCUCGAUUACGCCCUCGAUCGCGAUGUCUCUCCUAAGAUCUCCCUUUUUGCUCGCGAAGUUGUUGCUGGUACUAACAACAUUGGAGAUUCACUCAUUGUUUAAUUUUAGCAUUUUUCUAAUUCUACUUUGGCGUAUUCAUAAACUGUUUUCUGUCUUAAUUAAUAGAAUCGACUGUUCUUCAGCUUACUUGGUGGACAAAGGCUUUACACUAUUGCUCUGUGAAUCGUUUAUUUUAUAGGUAAAUAUUUUUUUUUAAGUGCAUGUUGCUGUUUAUGUUGCAGUUGGAAAAGAGGAGCAAUCAUUGCCGUAUCUGUUAUUUUUACAAGGUGGGCCUGGUUUUGAAUGCCGGGGGCCAACUGAAUCCAGUGGAUGGAUAAAUAAAGCAUGUGAAGAAUUUCGUGUUGUAUUGAUGGAUCAGGCAUGAUUAUCUUGAAUUUCCCUACCACAAGCGUUUACUGAAAUUCACUGACUUUGUUGUUAAGUAUUCAUUGUAAUUGGCCCUGCCCAUUUUGUUUUCUUGCAGAGAGGAACAGGCUUAUCUACUCCUCUGUCAGUAUCAUCUAUGCUGCAAAUGAAGUCUGCUAAGGAUUUAGUUGACUACUUAAAACAUUUUAGAGCUGAUAGUAUUGUAAAUGACGCUGAAUUCAUCCGUGUUCGUCUUGAUCCUGAUGCUAAACCUUGGACGGUCUUGGGCCAGGUAUUAAGAUUACUGUUUUACUGUUUUACGUUAUGUAUUGAGUUAAGGGUCUUGGUCGAGUUUGUCAUCUUUAACCAUUCUUAAAGUCUAUGCCUUUUGAAUGGAAUCUGGUUUAUGCUUUGGUCACGCUUUUGCUUCUUAUGAGCAAGUUCUUUGUGUUCAGUCAUUUGUUACAAUAUCCAUGAAGAGACUAACUGAAUCAUUCAAUAUGUUGAUGGCACCUCAUGCUACUUUUCUUGUGCAGAGCUAUGGUGGUUUUUGUGCGGUCACCUAUUUGAGUUUUGCACCACAAGGGCUCAAACAAGUCCUUCUAACUGGAGGAACUCCUCCUUUAGGAAAUGGUUGCUCUGCAGAUUCUGUGUACAGAGUGGCCUUUGAACAAGUUAUUCGUCAAAACGAGAAGUAUUACAAGAGAUUUCCUCAGGAUGUUGAAAUUGUUCGUGAAAUUGUGAAGCACUUGGCAGAAUCCGAAGGAGGUGGGGUAAGGGACUACCAAACAUGAUUUUGUAUUUUCUGUAAUGCUGAAAUUCUAGCAAAAUUUCUGCAAUUGUUCUGCUUACCCCCUUCUUCCUUGUACAGGUUCUUCUCCCAUCUGGGGGUAUAUUAACCCCAAGGGUUUUGCAGUUAGUUGGGCUUUCCGCUUUAGGAUCGAGUACUGGUUUUGAACGCUUACACUAUAUGUUAGGCAUCAGACCAUGCACAUCCUUUUAAUUACUCACAUUCUUGUGCUCUUCUAUCUUUUCCUAAUUUAAAUCUCUAUCUUAUAGGUUGGAGACUGCCUGGGAUCCUGUAAUAGUUCCAGGGGCACCAAAACUCCUCAGUUACUGUUUCUUAAAAGCUGUAAGAAAAUGUUUGCUACCUAAAUGAUCUUCGUUUCAUGACUGGAAAGCACGUUUUUGUAAUCAUUAUUUAGUCAUUUGUGUGCAGGUUGAGAAUUUUUUAAGUUUUGAUACAAACCCACUCUAUGCCUUAAUGCAGGAGACUAUAUACUGUCAAGUAAGUUACAUUGUUCAAUCAUGGCUUACAGUUUCAUUUUCUGACAAUUAUUAUAUUUAUUUUUGAGUUCUAUUUUAUGAAACGUUACUUAACGAAAAUGAAGUAAUAUGGAGUGAAAAAGAAUUUCUCUUCUUCAAUCCAAAAAAUUCACCUAAAUGAAGAAAAUUGAAAUGUUCUUAUUUUUCAUAAUUCUUUUUAAGGGUGCUUCAUCACAAUGGUCUGCUCAAAGAAUAAGGGCUGAAUAUGAAGGCAAAUUUGAUGCUAUCAAGGCUGCAAAAGAAGAUCAUCCUGUACUUUUCACAGGAGAGGUAGAUAUGAGUUACAUAAAUAUUCCGCUAUAUGAAAAAUAAAAGAAGACAUGCGUAACAAAUACAUUUUGUGUACUCUGUCGCUGUUUUCAUCUUUCUCUUUUUGCCCUUUUUCCUUUUAAGUAGCUGAGUGCAGUGCAUUCUAAAACUUUUCUGAUCUUAUGGCUCCGCUGGUAAAAGUACAGAAUGAAGAAUUCUGCUUUAAGUUUUAUAUGUUUAUUUAGAAAGAGUCUUUGAGUCAAUUGCAUCUUGUUUGGCUCCAAAGUUUUGUCAACUCGGGACUUGCUUAUAGUUGCAUGUAGUUUCUAGCUGCAGUACAGCCUGGACAAAUGUGUGUUGCGAUGCUGUUGUGUCUAGAGUUGAGCCUACUGAGUUUCGAGCAUGAUGGUGAACACAUUGUUGCAUUGUUUUCUCGUCUUUUGCCUUUAGCAUUGGCAGAAAUAUUAAGAAAAAAAAAUUCUUGGAGAGUAAAGAUAUUUUGAUAAAAUAAGAAUUUAAACAACUGUUCAAGUAAUUUUGAACAUAGUAAUAAACUGAAUGAAAUUAAUGGCUAUUCUUUGCAGAUUGUUUUAGGUACUUGAGGUUCUAGAUAUCUUUGCCUUAUGAGCUUUUGCCAAUCCAUCAUCAGGGCAACAUCUUGGAUCAUUUUGUGCAUUUAUGUUACUUGGGACAUAAUUUUUAAAAUGAGAUAUUUGUAUAUUUUCUACUUAUUUGGUUUAAAUGAUUCACUGGAUUUGGUGUAUGAAUCUGAUGCUAACUGCAGUUAGUUUUAUUUGCAAAGUUCUUUUGGAUCCUCUAUAAUUGUUUCAACGGAUAUAUCCUUGGGUAUUUACUUGGGCAGAUGAUAUUCCCAUGGAUGUUUGAUGAGAUUCAUGCCUUGAAACCAUUUAAAGAAGCUGCUAAUUUGUUGGCUGAGAAGAAGGAUUGGACCCCGCUCUAUAACAUUGAGACAUUGAAGAAUAACAAGGUUUGCUCUAAUGUUAUUAAAUAAGGAAAUCGUAAUUAUCUUGACCUUGAUUGAAUGGAGACCUGAACCCACUAGAGACUACUGCAAAAGCAGUCACAACUGUCUUCAUAUUGACUCGGGAAUUCCUUUUUCCUUUACUAAUACAUUUUGUUUUUAAUGCUGCCAGGUACCUGUUGCAGCUGCCGUGUAUUAUGAGGAUAUGUAUGUUAAUUUUAAGGUGGCCAUGGAGACUGCAUCUCAAAUAGCAGGAAUUAGGCUAUGGAUAACAAAUGAAUACAUGCAUUCUGGUCUGCGCGAUGCAGGGGGCAAGGUUUUGGAUCAUUUGUUGGGAAUGUUAAAUGGAAAGAAGCCUUUGUUCUGAUUUUCGUCUGUUGUUACUUUCAUGUUAUUUGAAGUUGCCUUUGUACAUUUCUUGGCGGGUUUUUAAUCUUUCUAAGAAGCUUUCGAGGUGAGGCUAGCAGAGCACAGACACUAUUUCCCCAACAAAACAAAUAUUUCCACUUUUCCAGCCUCUAUCUUUAAUGUUAGGAUUUAUAUGUUUGAAUAUCGGGUUUUAUGUGGUAAUAAUAACCAUUCAUGCCAACAUGGAUGUAAAUGUCUCGAUUUUUCAGAUUCACUAUCAAGUGAGCUCUUAAGUUUCUCCUAGGAACCUUUUCUAAGCGCUUUAAAACUUGAUCCUAGUUCACGUGCUUGCAUCUCAUAUAAAGUGGGUCAAUUGUGGACAGGGAUACUCGACAAUUUGGCUCAAAAGAUCAAAAAUUUGGCAAAAUAUUUUGAAGGCCAAAAAAUCACAUAACCACAAACUGAAAGCCACCUGUAAUAGUAAAGUUUCUCCAGUGGCAUUUUCGACAUUUAUCGCCAUCAUUAUAAAAACCGACAAGUCCGGGUUGGCGAUGGAAUUAAAAAAGGUACGAAAUAGAAAAAUACAAGAAAGUGGAAGAAACCCUCAACUCAACCACCGCCUCAGCCGGUUUCUGGUAACGCAUCACUCUGUUCCUCUCUGAUCGUGAUCUUCAGUCUUCAGUCUUCACUACUCGUUUAGGGUUUAAGCAGGCUUCCCUCUAUUAAUGAAAUUUUAACAGUAAUUAAUCAGCUGUACAAUCUCUUUUCCUUCUUGCUCGCAAUGUGUGCUAUAUUUUUGGCUUAAAUUAAUUAUUUAACUGUAUUUAGAAUUUGGAUGUUGCUCUCUGUAGGUCGAAAUUCGAAAAUGCGGAGAUCGUUAACGUCGUUGGUUCGGCCUCUCACGGCAACUCGAGGGUUUAGUACUAACUCAGAGAAAAUCGUUGCGUCCGUUCUGUUCGAGAGAUUGCCUGUUGUUAUUCCGAAAAUUGACCCUGUGGUUUACGCAUUUCAGGAGUUCUCGUCAGUUUUCUUUUUUCACUUGCUAAUAAAAUUUUAAAUGAAAAAAAUCAUAGAUGCCUCAUACAUUAUUUGCUUCAUUGCGUGCAGCUUCUUCUUCUUCUUCUUCUUUUGUGAAUAUUGUUUGGUUGCGCUUUAGUUAUAGAAUGGGAAUUAAAUUUCCCUCUUUUUUCCGUUUUCUGUAAACUCGAUAGUUUGUCAUCUGGGACAUGGGAAAAGCUGAACCUUUUACAUUUUAUGCCUUUGCUUUAUAAAUAUUUAAAAUAAAAUGACUGAUAACAUAUGAUCAUAUUUUCCCUUUCUCUUCUGGUUCCGCAGCUUCAAAAAUUAUUAUUUUUAAUCACAAUACUGGAUUUCUUUUUCCUCAUCUUGUGUAGUGUGGUUUGAUUGCUCAUGUAUUCGGUUUGGGGCUGGUGGGUUCCAGGUUUCGAUGGAGACAGCAAUACAGACGCAGAUAUCCUGAUGAAUUUUUAGACAAGUCUAAUUCUAGGUAAGCUGCUUUACGUCCUCUUAUGUUCUUGUUCUUAGUGAGGUUAUCUUUAGCUAUUUGUUUUAUCUUAGAAUAUUUUGCAUGGGGUUGGACCUUAAGUUGUUUUACAUGCCCAAAGCAUGUCAGUUAAUGUCCUAGUAUCUUGGAUAUCUAAUUGUGACCUCCUUUUAUUCAUGUUCACUUAUUUAUCUCUGAUGAUUGUGUUUUUGGAAAAAAAAAAAAAAUUUCCCUUCUGCUUGGACUGUUGAGAGUUGUUGUAGAAGUUGGAUCUUAAAGAAAAUAUUGUAAUUAUGGUGCAUGGGCAUGAGGCAGAAGCAUUAGUUACAAAUUUGUAACUUCAUGUUGACAUUAUCAUUCUAUAGAGCUCUUGGGUUUGAGUAGCCUUUUCUGAGUCAUGAUACUUUCUUUUGGUCGGUGCAUUGAUUACAAAUUUGUAACUUCAUGUUGACGUUAUCGUUCUAGAGAGCUCUUGGGUUUGAGUAGCAUUUUCUGAGACAUGAUGCUCUCUUUCGGUCUGUCAUAUCAGGCUCAUUUAAGCAAUUCUGCUUUUAGGAAAUAUCUUUGUAAUUUGUUGUUCAAUUUUGCAUUUUUAAUAUCAACAAGCAUGUGCAUUUGACAUUCAAAAUCUUAUUACUGUGAUUAUUUAUGUAACGACUCAUUUUUAAUUUCAUUGCUAAGCCCUGAUUUAUUGAAUGAAAUGUAUAAUUCUGUUUGUUUCUCUCUCUUUCACAAAUGUUUCACUUACAAAUGCAGUGAAAGACAAGUGCAGAUGAAGUUUUGAUUGUUAUGUAUUGAUCUUUUGUGACACUUCUGUAACAGAGGAAAAGGCGACUACCAAAUGGAAUACGUACCAGCUCCUCGGAUUACUGAAACUGACAAAACAAAUGAUAGAAAGUAAGAAGUUCUAUUAUGUACAUUGAAUCGGGUGAAUUUUAUCGACCUCAUUAUGGUUUGAUACAACUCAAGUCCAAAACUUUUUAAAAAUCCUCACAAGCAAACUUUCAUGGCUUAAAACUUAUCAUAAAAUCUCAUUUUACAAAAGAAGAAGUUUUAUGUUAUUGAUGUUGUAUUGCAUUCGAGUAACUGCAUGAUUGCGUUUAUGCAGGAAUUACAUUAAAUUUAAUGUUUUUAUUAGUGUUAUUAUAAUUAUUUUUAUUUGUGUUCUUAAGGUCAUUACAGAGAGCACUUGACAGAAGACUGUACCUUAUUCUCUAUGGCGAAACUUUUGGAGCUCCUGGUGGGAAGCCUAUCUGGCAUUUUCCAGAAAAAGUUUAUGAGUCUGAGGAGAGUUUGCGCAAGGUGAUUCUUCUUCUCCUCCACCUUCUCAUCCUUCUUCUAAUCAUAUAAAUUCUUAUCAAAUGUUUGCAGUGUGCAGAGUGUGCAUUACAAUCUGUACUGGGUGACCUUUCCCACACUUAUUUUGUCGGAAAUGCUCCCAUGGGUCAUAUGGUAAUGCAGCCUGCAGAAAAGAUGCCAGACGUUCCAUCAUAUAAGGUAUACUUGGUGCUUUUUAUAUAUUUCAAGAGAAAUAAUACUUUAUUUUCUUCCGUAUAUAAAUUAUGCACUUCAUUUUUCACAGAUAACUUUAUUUUAUGCUGUUGUCUUAAUGUAAGUGUGUGUGAUUGUUAUUCACUCUGUUGAUCCCUUUCUUUUUGCCAGCAAUUCUUCUUCAAGUCUCAAGUGAUUGCGAGCAACAAGUUUACAAUUGGCAAGUGUGAGGAUUUUGUUUGGGUGACCAAGGAUGAACUCAUGGAGUAUUUUCCUGAGAGCGCUGAAUUUCUUAACAAGAUGAUCAUCAGCUGAUGCACAAGUCCUAUUUGACUUCCGUGCAUGCCACACCUUAUUGCUUUCUGAACCAAUUAUCCCCAGUGGAUGAAUUUUUGACCAUCUAGAUGAGAAAUUCAAAUUGCACUGAAAAUUAUGCAGUAGUUUACCAAUAGGAGAGCAUUAUUCAGUGGUUAAAAACUGUACCUUUUGUUGGGACCGCGGGGUACCAGGAAUUUUUGUCCUGAUUUUGGACUGUUACCAAAUUUUCUUAUGCAAUAAGAAUUUUCCAGAUUCCAAUUUUGUUGCGACUAAAUCGAACACGUAUGCAGGUAAAUCAUAUUGCUCACUAGUAUCUACUGAACUAACAAGUACUUUGGGUGGUUGCUGGAAUGCUAGAUUGCGUGUCGCCUUCGUUCGCUAUUAGAGUGGUGUUCCGGUCACUUUGCUCUAGAAUCAAAUAAAUUAUACAAAUUUUAUAUCCGGAAGUCAUUGCGGGUGACCUAAUCAUAUCUCUCAAAAGGCAAUUGAACAAAGCACGUGUUUGGAAAUUAGGGAUUAGAGCACCUAGAAAGGGCAACUGGAGUAUACAGAUAAAACUUUUCGAUUGAUUGGCAAGUAGAUAUAAGAUUUUUGUUCAUUGAUUCAUUCUGAUCUGCAGGCCUUAUCCAAAGGGGUACGUAUUAUUGGUCAAAGUUCCCAAAUGAAAGAUUUUUAAAAAACAAUGAACUCGUUGCCAUGAGACGAGAAUUCAAUGUGUCGCCCUGAUCUUUCAAUCGGCGCCGUCUAUUCUUUAAACAAUUUUACAAUACAAUAAUAUGCAAUUUUGAUUUUAGGCGGUGACUCAUUACCACGAAGCAAGAUAUCUAGUGCUCAUUUAUUAAUAAUAAUAAUUCAGAAAGCCAACACCAAUAGUCCUAGUGAUGGUAAAACCCGGUCAUGUAAUCGGUUGGUGAACAGUAUCCUUGCAUAUCGAUUAAAACAAUAUUUUUGAUGCACUUUUAAACAUGUGUCCUAAUUAAUGAGGUUGUAAUGAAGGCUCUGCUACCGUCCUUCUCAGUAUGAGGAGAAAAGGACUAUCCAUAUAGAGCAAAAUGAUAGCCGCAUGCACACACACAUUGGUGAUAACGAUGCAUGUUGGGUACGUUUCCUUUUUGCUUAAAGGGCAGUUGAACAGAAGUAGGUGAGAUAUAGUUGGCUUUACCCUUUGGGUGCAACUUAAGAGAGCAGGGAAAUAACAAGACUCAGAGACACACACAUACAGAGAGAGAGAGAGAGAGAGAGAGAGUCUCUUUUUAAUUAAUUAAACAAGCACAAAAGCCAACAAUUACACUUGAGUCCGUCUAGAGAUCUCUCUGUGGGUGCCUGCCUAACCUCUUCUACCCUCCAACACUUUUGUUUCUUUAAAAACCUGCAAUAUCCUACAUUUGGCCACUUCCUCUCUCUCAAUUAAUUUUUAACUAACAUGGAAGGACGAGAACCACAGCCGGUGUCAUCUCCAAUGUCGCCACAGACUAAUUACUUAUUCACACCCUCAAUCCCGUCUUCGUCGAUGCAACCAGCUACUCUAGAGCCUCAAGUUCUUCCGGAGAUUGAUUGGGUUAGCCUUCUUUCUGCUCAGUCAACUGAUCACAAUAUGAUGGAAAGUACUAGUCAUCUUAACCCUGAAAAUGGCGGAGGUCGUGAUCAACAAGAUCAGGGUUGUAAAGAGAAUAAAAGGAAAGGGUCUAGGAUGAAGAAGGCCACACGGCCUAGGUUCGCUUUUCAGACUAGAAGUGCCGAUGAUAUUCUUGACGAUGGAUACCGUUGGAGAAAAUAUGGUCAGAAAGCUGUCAAGAACAGCUUAUAUCCCAGGUGAGCCAGCCGCGCGCAGUCUUCAUUAUUUACACACACACACACACACGAUUUAUAAAAUUAUGCGUGCCACAUGUUCUUAAUUCUUACGUGAAAAAUCUUUAUUAAACAAUUAUUGUACAGGCAAAUUUUAUUUUGUAGGAUGACUUUGUUUUAAUUCAAAGUUCUCAACCAUGCAUACUAACAUGCAUGUGUAUAUAAUUUCGCUUCCCUAGGGUUCGGUUAUGAUCUGACCUACUGAGAACCGCUGAAGUUGAAGUUGAUAAUUUAAUGGAAAUAUAUUAUUAACGUGGUUGCAAUGUUGCAAAAUCUAGUGUUAAUUGCUCCUACACAGAUCAAAAAGAAAGAGAGAGAGGGAAAUUCUUCGGAUAUCGGUCAAGAUAUGGAUGGGAAUAUUUAAAGAUUUGAUCUCAAGAACAAAAUAAUAAUUAAAAAUAAAUAAUUGGGCUAGUAGGUCUUGUAGGUACAUAGACAUGAUAAUUCUUAGGGCUUGGACGGGCUAUAUUUUUCAUGAUUGAGAGGGGUGAUAAGUGAUCAACAUCUUUCUUCAUUCCAUCUCUUUAGGUUUGGAAAGUAGAUAACCUAAUAAUUGAGGCAAUUUCGUACAGAGAAGUCGAUAUUCCCUGUCAUGAUGUCGAACCAUAUAUGGUAGAAGGUUGUUGAAUUUAUUAAUUCAUAGUUUUGGUAAAUAUAUACAUAGAAAUUUAUGAGAGGCAAAAAGGAUACUAGCCAGUAAAUUGUGUUUUUUUUUUUUUUUUUUUUUGCCUAGAAUUUGAUAGUUUAGCAGUUGUAUAAACAGAAGAAUCAUUCAUUCACGGUAUAUUUAUACAUAAGAGUCAUGUUAGUGAUUCUAACAUUUGUAUCUCAACUAAUAAGAUAUUUUCAUCUAUUUAAUGGUAUAAUAUUAAUUUUAAAAAUUAUGAAACUUAUCAUCUAAUAAUAGAUUAAUGACAUGUAGCAUUGGAAUACAGGCAGUACAUAUAAUUUGAAUUAUAAUUUUGACACUUUUAAACCAUUGGUUUUAUGUAAUAUAAUCCAAUGAUGACGAGUUGGUAUCGUUAGAUAUUACUUUGACUUUCAAUAUUUAUCCUUAGAUUGAUUGAGAUCAAUGGCUCAAAAUUUAAAGUAAAAAGUUUAACCUACUUUGCCCUUAUAAUGGCAUCAUAUUUUUUUUAUUUAUGGGUGGAAAUUAUAUCUAAAUUUCUCUUUUACAUUCUGUAAAAUUAUAUAUGUUUUGUAUGCAUAUGCUUACCAAUCUAUGAUUUUGCAAAAUCAAUAUAAAACAUGGCCAAAUCAAAGGAGCUACUACCGGUGCACGCAUCACACAUGCAACGUGAAGAAACAGGUCCAAAGGCUAUCAAAAGACACCAGCAUCGUGGUCACAACUUAUGAGGGAAUCCACAACCAUCCUUGCGAGAAGCUCAUGGAAACCCUAACUCCUCUUCUCAAGCAAAUGCAGUUCCUUGCUCGCUUCUAAUUUUAAUAUUGUUCCCAUCCAUCCAUUGUAACCUAAUUUAUAUAUUAAUUACAUGUAAAUUAUAUGUCAACAACAUAUCUACUAUCUAGCUAGCAGAAUCCUUCUCUGUUACUUUAAUUACUUGACGUUGAUUGACCAUCUAGUUAUAUACCUCCUGUAAUGUUGUACUUGUGUUUAGUUUGUGGACUUUCUGUACAUGGACGAAUAUGUAUUAAUGUUGAUAUCAUAUGAUAAGCUUUUGUAAAUCUCUUUGUCGGUAACACGUAAGUUAUCUUCACGAAUUGAAAUUGCAUACCUUGGGUUUUAUUUAUUUAUAUUUGUUUGAAUUUAAACAGAGAAUUUUAUCCUCGUCCCUUGCUUUCAGUUAUCCCUUUUAGAAAUGAUCAAGUUAUAUUAUCCUCUCUUUCCAAUUUCCAUUCAUUAGUUAAAAAAAAAAAUCUAAAAUUUACCUAAUAAAAUUUAGGUAAGCAUGUUUGUCUAUGGUAUAAUGAUCUACAGACGAUAAUGCUUGAUUAUUUAUUGAUAAGUUAAACUUGUAAGUUUAGGUUUGAGUCCCAGUAAACUCUUUUCUCCUUCUAAAUAUACAUUUUUAUAGAUAUUUGGAUGUGAUAGAACCAUUAUUUUUUCGAAAGAAAUUUGUGAGCUAUCACUUUAGUAAGAGUUAAUUAGGAGCUGUAUU